UUUUUUUUUUUUGUAAUCUGAUAAUUUAGAUUGAUGCCACAGCCAAAAUCUAGUAAGCAUGAUAGAAGAAGGGAAACAUGGUGCUUAAGGUCCAGGAUCAAGAGGGUUAGCACAUGUGGCAUGAGGAAAAAAAGAGUUCCCACUAUGAAUUGGACCCACAUGAGGUAUGGAGUAGAGAGAUAUUGGCAAUACAGAGUGUUAUCUUGUGAGUCCUGCAAUGGUGUCUCAUGGAUGGAAGAGGGAAAAACUGAAGAGAGGUGGAGUUAUUUUAUGCGGGGAGUCAGGAUAGUUUUGGAAUUUAUCAAAUUGUGGAGUCAAUUGAAAUGGAGUCUUACCACCCUGAGUUCCUAUCAUAAUAGAUAGAUAUUUUUUAUCUAAUAAAUUAUUUUACCAGGAAUAGUGUUCCAAUACCAUAGAUAGAAAUUUGGCAAAUAUAAACAUCAUCAUAAGUUUUUCUUUCUACUAACCACUCAAAUAGUUCUUUUCUGACUAAUGGAAGCCAAUUCUUGGCUGAACAAUUGAACAGCAUAUAGCCUGAGCUAUUGUUAACUAGGACAUUAGUUGGGGGAUAAGGAAGAGUAAGAAAAGGCUCUUUCGAUUAUUGAAUAGACAAUAUAAGUCUAAGACAUUAACAUUAGCAAUAUGAUUAAUGUAAUGGAUGUGCAUACGCAAUUACCAAUUAUAUAUGGAAGCUUAAUAUCUUAUAGUGUCCAUAGCAUAUACAUAAACAAAUAUUUCAGUUCUUUGAAAAAGGGAAUUCAUCACAGGUUCUUGAUAAUCAUUACCAGAACAAAAAUAGUUUUUGUGUGGAACCAUUGUAUUUUAUGUCAGCAGGGUUCGGUGGGAGGGGGGAGUAUAUAUGAGCUAAUAUUUCUAACCUGUAGUGGUUAGACAGAGAAUCAUUAGGCUAUUUGAGCAUAGCCCAGUCAUUAUGCAGUGAACCAAGUAUCUAUCCAUGCAUAACCAAUUGUUAUUCAUCAUACAGGAAGCCAAAUGGCUAUAUGUGAAUUUACCCAAAUGUGCUGUCAUGAGUAGCCUUCAACAAAUUUAUCCAAGCUAAUUGGCCCUGUCUAUAGCAAGGCAGUAAGCUAUAACAAAGAGAAAGCAAGUAGAAAAAAGAACAGAAUGAGAGAGAGAGAGCGAGAGAGAGACCUGGCUGAUGCCUAGAGAUGGGCUUUAACUCUUGAAGUCAAAAAGAAAUUGAUCUUGAUUUAAAUUGUAGCACCAUCAUCAACACCAUCAUGUGGAGUCAAUGGUGUUACUAGCACCACGAUCCCUUCCAAAUAUUGGAAGAGGUGAUGCCCAUUUUUCAGAAGUCUGCUUAUCUUCGGCACAUGAACAUGGAUAAGGGAUACGGAUACAAUAUGAUAUGGAUAGCUGGCAUAGCAAAUCUUGGGAGAAUCAGAUACUAUGUAGUUAAUAUAUACAUAUUACAUUUAUAUAUACACACAGAGAGAGAGAGAGAAAUACAUGUAUAUGUGUCCGUAAAAAAAGUAUCUAUAAAGCAUAGUAGGUUAUGAAGAUAACACAGUCCAUUUCUUUACGAUAGCAUCAACUUUUACUAGUUCAUCAUUUACUCAUCCUUCGAUCUAUAGACUAAAGUCCAUACUUAAUAAGUUAAUAUUUUAAUAAUAAUAUCAUAGACUACAAAAUUGACCUUCUCCCUUAUUGUUAGACUUAUGGGGAAGUAUCUGACAUAUAUCCGAGAAGUAUCCAGUAGUUUUUUUUUUCAAUUUUGAAAAGCGCGAUACUAAAUACAAGUAUUAGACAUGUAUCCAAGAAGUAUCCAAUGUGAAUUAGAUAAGGACAUGGCAUGUGAUUUUAAGCACCAGUGCUUCCUAGGGUUGUCAUGCUUGGUAGUUAGAUAAUUUUGACCUACUCAUUGAUCUCCAAUGUACUUGUAAGCCUAAGCUUCAUGCAUUCAUCCCCAUAAAUUUAUAAUUAGUCAUUUUUUGUGCAACAUACUUAUUCAAGAAAUUGAUUCCCAAAUUCUUUUAAUUUGUUUUGAUUCAAUUUCAUUUUUAAUUUAUUUUUAACCAAAAGUAGUUACUGUUCAUCCCCCAAAUGAUGCCUAUUUGUUUUGAUUCUAUCUCAUUCUUAUUCUAAACUACUUGCAUUUCCAACUCUUUAAUUGUCAUUACCAAAAAAGUCAGCGUAUUGUCGGAUUACCCUCGCACGCGUUGCGACGAUCGCAACGGAAAGACAUGUGCGGAGUUGUUCAUCUCAUGAACGUUCUAGGAAACGUAGAUUUCAAAAAUUUUCUAGAGUUCUCUAACUCAGAUUUAUGAAAUCUAAAGAAAAGAUUAAAAUUAAAAGACUAGAUUAAUUUUAGAUUUAUUACAAUUCUUAAUUGUAUAGAAUUUAUAAAGACCUAAUCUUUAUCUUUGAGUGGGUAGAACUUCACCACUGUCUGAUGAUCAUAGGAUUUCUGGUUCUCUUGAAGCCGCACAAGCGUCCGGCCUCUACAGGUAUCUACACGAGGUACAGAUUGCUCCAAGAUCUCACCGGGGUGCUAGCUUCCUUGCAGAUAUCAUCUUUGAUGGCUGAAUUCCUCUCUUUUAAUCAACUCCUUGAUUACUUUGAGAGGAAGAAGAAGGAAGACGACGAACGUCGAAGGGGAGGAAGAAGAAGACGACAACUCUUCUUCUUUCUCUCUUGCUCACGCCAAAGGGAAGAAGGAUGGAGAGGGUGGCAGCAACAGAGGGGCUUCAAUACUCUUAUGCUUCACGCAAGGGCCCUUUAAAUAGGCAUCUCAUGCCCGUACGAACAAGGAGUAAUUUCAGAGAUCAAUCACUCCUUGAUUCAUCCCUCCAAAAUCUGCAACACCCCUUACUUAAUUCUAUUACAACCCUUACUUAAAAGAGUUUGAAGAGAAUCUAAGGGAUGUGCUCAUACCAUCUGGCAAUCCGUGUGAACCAGGAGGAGGAGGAGAUCCACCCCUCCACAUGGCGUGGAGACCAUGAAAGGAAAGGAGGGGCUGACGCCUCUCCUUUCUUGGUGCGUGUGAGAAGGAGGGGCGGACGCCCCUUCCUCUUUCCUUCUUUGCUCCACACGCAUGGAGGAAGGUUCCCUCCCUUCCUUCCAUGCGUGGGUCUCCUAAUCCAAUUAGGAUUUACAUGGUCCCACCUGACCAAUUGAAUUCUAAUCCAAUUAGAACCCAAUGUGUCCUCCAAAUUGAUUUAUAUGAAUCCUAAUCCAAUUAGGACUUGAAUUGGACUUCAUGAAUCAAGUUCCUUAUCUAAUAAGAAGUUCUAAUUAAUUAGGCCUUUCCAUCCUUAUCCAAUAAGGUUAAGCAUAAUUUAAUUAGGUCCAAUUAAAUCAAUUAAAUUGCAAUCCAAUUGCAAUUCCUUCUUCUUUAACUCACUAACUCUUAGCAGGUUAAAUCAAAUUGAUAAUCAAUUUUAAUUUCGAUUCCAAAUCGUAAUCCAAGCUUCGGAACGAUCAAAACCUCUAAUAUGUGGGACCCUGUAGGUUCUAUUCUGACUGGUAGUGAGAUAUAUUAUGAUCUCUAUCAUAAUAUCAUCGAAAUUCCUUUCAAUGGGUUGAAACGAUUUCAACUCUACUCUUAGGGUUCACUGAUCACCAAAUAAAUGCCUUCGAGUCUCACAAUCCACUAGUGACACCUAGCAGCAUAUAGUGACAACCCAGCAUAAUGGAAGGUAUGAACCUCUAGGUGCAGUUAGCGUAUGAUACAAUACCUUUAUCAUGGAUCCCGACAUGACGGAGGUUAUGGAUAACUCGUCAAACCCCAUCGUCUGUCUUAUGUCGGAUUUAUUUGACUUAAGUUCGAGAUUGGAAAACUCCUUUUUCAGAACUGCCCUGGCCAAGGUCUUCCGAACUUAGUCUCAUAAAUCACAUAGGAUCUCUCCUAAUUUAUCAAGGUUGAUAGAUCCCAUCUAGAUGCAGCCCUAAUCCGACAGUGAAUCUACCGUAGCCAAUCUGCACCACAAGAAUCCUUAGGGCCAAUGUUUAUGUGAAACAACAGCAACCUCACCGUGAUUAGCUGAGGCAUCGCAAGUCUAAGCACUAGUCAUACAACUGCAACAUCAAGUAAGUCACUGAUGAGUGGAUAGACAUCCAAGUGACUUCUUGCUUUUGUCACGCCCAGUACCCUUGUUCUCUAACAAGCACUUGCACAAUCACCCCAGUGUCGCCACACUGUGGACUUAAGACUCGUCUAUCAAGAAAAGUGAUCUGUGCACUAAUCUUAUCGGAUCGAUCACCGUCCUUCGUGAUGAUCCUAAAUCAGGAGUAGUUCAGGAAUUACAUAAUGAUACAUGUCUUAAAUUCUCAACUCUUGAGAAUAUGUGUUAUUAUCUCAUUAAUUCUUAGGACGAUUCAUGGACACAUAAUAACAUGAAUGAAAAGAAGAUCCAAUUUUAUUAAUGAAUAAAAUGAUCAAGUACAGUUGUUAUGUCCUAGAAUUAAUACAAUGCGUCUGCCAUAUUGGCUUCUAGGGCAUACUUCUAACAAUCUCCCACUUGCACUAAAGCCAAUUAGACAUGUAUCUUAGCCCCAUCUUCUCAAGAUGUGCUUCCGUCUUUUGCUGACUCAGCUGCUUAGUGAGCGGGUCCGCCAUAUUGUCCGUGGAGUCUACUUUUUGUACCUCUGCAUAUUUCUUUUCGAGGUAGUCGCGUAUCAGAUGAUAUCGUCGCUCUAUGUGCUUGGACUUCUGGUGAGACCUCGGCUCCUUAGCUAGUACUAUGGCGCCAUUAUUGUCGCAGUAGAGUGUAAUGGCAUCUGAUGACAUCAUGCCUAACUCUUCAACAAAUUUCUUGUACCAGAAUGCUUCCUUUGCAGCUUUCGAUGCGGCAAUAUAUUCAGCUUCCAUGGUAGAAUCUAUAAUGAUCGGUUUGGAACUUUUCCAAUUUAUCGAUCCACUAUUGCUCAAGAACACAUAUCCUGAUGUAGACUUUCUAUCAUCAGGGUCAGUCAUAAAGUCUGAAUCUGUGUAUCCUUCUACCUUUAACUCAGAUCCUCCUACAAAAAGCAAGAACAUAUCCUUAGUCCUUCUCAAGUACUUAAGAAUGUUCUUCACAGCUAUCCAGUGCUUUUCGCCUGGAUUUGACUGAUAUCUGCUCGCGACACUCACAGCAUGUGCUAUAUCAGGUCGUGUACAUAGCAUGGCAUACAUGAGGCUCCCUAUAGCCGAAGCAUAAGGGAUCUUGCUCAUUCGUUCAAUCUCUUCAGAUGUUUUGUGGCACAUCUUCUUGGAGAGAUUAAUCCCAUGCCUAAGGGGUAACAAUCUCCUCUUAGAAUUUUCCAUACUGAACCUCUUCAGUACUUCCUCUAUGUACAUUUUUUGUGACAGGCCAAGGAUUCUUUUAGAUCUAUCUCUAUAGACCUUAAUCCCCAAAAUAUAGGAUGCUUCCUCUAAGUCUUUCAUGGAGAAUUUCUUAGACAACCAUACCUUGACUGAAGUUAGCAUGGAAAUAUCAUUCCCUAUUAGGAGAAUAUCAUCCACGUACAAGAUGAGGAAUAUGAUAGCCCUCCCACUAACCUUCUUAUAUACACAAGGUUCCUCUUCGUUUUUUAUGAAAUCAAACGAUUUGAUUACAUCAUUAAAACGAGUGUUCCAACUUCGAGAUGCUUGCUUUAGUCCAUAAAUGGAUCUUUGCAGUUUGCAGACCUUGUGAUCUCCAUCACUGAAAGUGAAACCCUGAGGCUGCUUCAUAUAGAUAUCUUCCUCAAGAUAUCCAUUUAAGAAAGCAGUUUUCACAUCCAUCUGCCAGAUUUCAUAAUCAUGAAAUGCUGCAAUGGCAAGCAAUGUUCGAAUGGACUUCAGCAUGGCUACAGGUGAAAAGGUUUUCUGAUAGUCAAUGCUUUCGCGCUGACUAUAACCUUUCCCCACUAGCCUAGCUUUAUAGGUCUCUACCUUGCCAUCCGAACUUAAUUUUCUCUUGUAGAUCCAUUUACACCCAAUCGGAACUAUACCUUCUGGUAGAUCUAUUAAGGUCCAGACUUGGUUGGAGUGCAUGGAGUCUAUCUCUGACUUCAUUGCUUCCAGCCAUUUCUCGGAAUCGAUGUCUAACAUUGCCUCGUCGUAGGUAUUGGGAUCUUUAUUAUGAUCUCUAUUUCCCAUGAGGAACACUUCCUCUACUUCCUCUGUAAGCAUACCUAAGUAUCUUUCAGUAGGAUGAGAAAUCUUACUAGAUCUACGAGAUGAAGGAGGUUCUACAUGUACUGGCUCUAUAUGAAUAGGUUCUACUGGGACAGUGGCCCGUUGCUUUUCAGAGACUUUCUCUUCGAGCUUAAUUUUCCUCCCACUGCCUCUAUCAAGGAUAAACUGUUUUUCCAAGAAGACAGCAUGUCGGCUCACAAACACUUUGUGAUCGUCUGGGACGUAAAAAUUGUAUCCUAAUGACUCUUUAAGAUAUCCUAUAAAACAAGCACUAAUUGUCCUAGCCUCUAACUUGUGCGCCUGUUGUCGCUUGACGUGGGCUGGACAUCCCCAAAUCUUGAGAUGACCAAGACUUAGCUUUUUACCAUGCCAUAUCUCAUACGGUGUGUGUUGUCCAGUUCCUGUUUACCUAAAAAUACGCUAAACAGAUCGUUGUUAGAACCGACAAACAAAGUUUAAUUUAAUUAUACUCUUACCUUUUCUACUCGAAGAAUAGUGGUCGUAAGAGGUCGAUCCACAGGGAGGCGAUUGGAGUUGCAUAAAAAUUAAAACGUUCACUCGGAUUCAAAAUUGAUUUUUGAAUAACAAAAGAAAAACAUUACGUCGGGGAUGUUGACUGAUUCUCUGGUCUACCAGAAAAUGUUUUCUAUUUGAGAUUAACUAAAAGGCAGGUAUAGAUUUGAAAAGCAUUUAUAUAUUUAAUGAAAUAUUUAACUAUUCAGAGGAAAACUUGGGCAUGGAUGAAAACAGUGUUUAAGAAAAUUGAAACUUAGAACAUAGAGUGCAUAAAAAUAAAUUUAUGGAUUGCAUAAAAGGACAAUUACAAAAAAAUAAAAUGAAGUUUGGAAGCCUAGUGCCUCCUCCUUCUACAAAAUAAAACAUAAAAACAAAUGAAGAAAUAAAAGAAAUUAGAAAACUCCUCUGUGGCAUGCUCGAUGGCUAUAUUUUUUUUAUUUCUCUUUCUUCCAAAACAGAGGAUGCUCUGUUUUCUUUCUUUCUUCUCUCCCCCAACCGAACCCUCUCCUCCCCUCUUCUUCAACCGAACACCUCCCUCCUCCCUGGUUCUUAGCCUCCACCCCGCACACCUCCCUCCUCGUCUUCCCCUCUUUAUAUAGCCAACUCUCCCCCGGCUCACACCUGAUCUCACGGGAUGCUGGAAGGAUUGCUUCGGACGACUUCCUUCUUUGGACCACGGACGCAGGAUCGCCAGACGGCUGAUACGGAAGGCGCGGAGGAUUGGGAUGCGGUGGUUGCUGGGACGGUGGCUGGCACGGAAUGCUUGAUUCGUGGAGACGAUUGGGCGCUAAUCCGCUCUGUGAACGCGGACAGAUGAAGGUGGAGGGAGCUGAUCGCUGGCUCACGGACGGCUGGGAUUGGAUCCGGAUGCGUCACGGGCGGAAGCAGAGGCGGAGGAGCUGCAAACGGACGCUGGGAACGUGGACUUCCUUCUUUGGCCACGGGAUGAUUUAGAAUGGAGCUUGGAAUCGCUCAGAAUGGCAGCUGGGUUGGCAUGUGGAGACAUGCUGGAAUGGAAGGUUGCUACGGCUGGAGGUGCGGACGGAUCGCGGGAUUCCGGACGGUGGAUCCGGAUGAUGGGUGCUGGGAUCACGGACUUGGGAAGAUGCCGAGGAUGAAACGGGAGAUGGGACGCUGGGAUGGAAUAUGCCACGGGAUGCUGUGGGCGUUGAAGAUGUUGAUCCGUGGAAGAUGGACGUGGGAGGUUGGAUCACGGAAGUGGAGAACUUUUUGGAAUGGACGGUUGGUGGCUCCUUGAUGGAAAGAAACAGAGGAUGACGUGGCUUGAGGCGUUGGGAUUGAAGGCUGAAGAUGAAGAUGCUAAUUUGGAAGGUGCAUGCGGACGGGAUGCCGGGAGCUGAAACGGAAGGUAAUUCGAUGGACGGUGCGGAUGCUGGGACAUCGCAACGUGUUGAAGACGUGAUGCUGAUGAUGAACCGUGGGAUGGCUAGCACAAUGUGGGGAAUCACUUGGGGGCAAAUGUGUUCGACCAGGUUAUGGUAGGAUUGGGCCUGCGCAAUCUGUACCAAAUGCGCAUUUAAACUUUAAUUUGUAAUAACCUGUACCAAACGAAAAUAUAAUAUUAAACUGGUGAAUUUAUCAUUAUCAGUUAAUAAUAGCACUAAUUUAGGUGAUAUGUAGAUCGCACUUUUGUGCUCUCAUCACACCCCCCAACUAGUUUAUUGCUAGUCUCUAGCGAUUAACAAGCAAGCGAUUAAAUGAGGGCACAAAAAGAUGUAGUCUAACUUAUAGGCUUUUUCUUUUUUUUCUAAUUGAAGCUAAAUACACAAAACUAAGAUAUGUACCCAUUUUCGUAGGGAAUCACGAUUGCACUUAGCAUGUGCGACAAGCCUUUAAACCCCUAGGUUAUCCUAGUGGACGAGUGUUGUCUCGUGAGGGUUUACAGUGAAGUUAUCCACAAACUUCAUCAGUCAGGGAUUUCCAAUUUUUAACUCGAAAUUUGAAUAAGUAUUACUGUAUGAAACUAGAAUUGCAAGGACUAUAGAGACUUGUUGCUAUCAUAUUUAAGCAGAGUCUAACUCAAGUUUCAUUACAUCCUAUCUGUCUGCUAACAAGUCAAGAAUGUAGUGAGGUGCAAGAUAGUAUCAUAUAAAUGAAUGGCUUUCACUUACUUCCAACAUGAUCACUUCAAUUUUCAAGACUUUCUAGAGUUAGCUGGUAAAGAACAUCCUAGAUUUAUUAAUUUUUAUUUUUUUUAUUUUUAUUUAUUUUAUUAUUUAUUUUAUAUUUUUUUUCAAUCAGAUUGAAUGCUAAGAAGAAUGACUUGUGCAAUAUCUAGCCUUAUUAAGCUUUCUAGCUAACCCAUGUAGCGAGUGUUAGGCCAAUAACUCCCGAUCCAGAUGGCUCAGGGCAUUAGGUGUAAAGACACCCUAACAGGCUUAAUAACUCAAGUCAACUAGGCUCCAAAGCUAAAUUAGUCAACUAGGCUCCAAAGACACCCCACUAUUUAUGUGCUUACGUGUAGGUGCUAAAUCAUCUUCUAUCAUAUUAGCAGAGGAUAGGUGGGACGAAAACUCAAGCUAGAACUACUAUCAUAUUAUUUAACUCAAAGCUAUUGUCAAAGCAAUUCCUAGUUUAUACGGCCAAAAAGAUUAGAAUUUGAGUUAAAAAUUUGAAAUCCCCCUUUUUUUCUUUAAAUCUUUUUUAUUUUUAUUUUUAUUUUUUUUAAGGUAGAAAAAUCAAAAAUAUUCUCACCCCCAUACCUAAAUCUAAUAUUGUCCCCAAUGUUAAAGAAAUUUUAAAGCAGUAAUAGGACAGAGGAGAAGUUACCUGACAUUGGUAGGUAAAUUGACAAUUGGGGUAAAAACCCCCAAACCUGCAUGUUAGUAAUUUAUUGAAUUAUUAUUAUUAUUAUUAUUAUUAUUAUUUAUUUAUUUUUUUAUAUAUAAUAUUUACAUGUUGGGUUGCCUCCCAAGAGCGCUNNNNNNNNNNNNNNNNNNNNNNNNNNNNNNNNNNNNNNNNNNNNNNNNNNNNNNNNNNNNNNNNNNNNNNNNNNNNNNNNNNNNNNNNNNNNNNNNNNNNNNNNNNNNNNNNNNNNNNNNNNNNNNNNNNNNNNNNNNNNNNNNNNNNNNNNNNNNNNNNNNNNNNNNNNNNNNNNNNNNNNNNNNNNNNNNNNNNNNNNNNNNNNNNNNNNNNNNNNNNNNNNNNNNNNNNNNNNNNNNNNNNNNNNNNNNNNNNNNNNNNNNNNNNNNNNNNNNNNNNNNNNNNNNNNNNNNNNNNNNNNNNNNNNNNNNNNNNNNNNNNNNNNNNNNNNNNNNNNNNNNNNNNNNCAAAGACCUUGGAUCCUAUCAGAUAGGGACGAAAUUUGUCAAGAGCAAAGACAACAGCCUACAACUCUUUUUCAGUGGUAGAAUAGUUGAGUUGGGCAUCAUUCAUAGUUUUGCUCGCAUAAUGAAUCACAUGGGGAAGCUUCCCCACUCGCUGACCUAGGACGGCACCUAUUGCAUAAUCAGAUGCAUCACACAUAAUUUCAAAUGGUAGAUUCCAAUCAGGGGAUCUUAUGAUGCGUGCUGAGGUUAGUUCAGACUUUAGUCUUUCGAAAACAGUUAUACAAGUUGGCGAAAAAUUAAAAAUAGCAUCUUUGGCCAACAAAUCACAUAAGGAUUUUGAUAUUUUGUUGAAAUCCUUAAUAAAGCGGCGGUAAAAACCCGCAUGCCCUGAAAAUGAUCGAAUUUCCCUAAUAGUCUUGGAAGGUGGCAAUUUAGCAAUUAAUUCUAUUUUGGCCUUAUCCACCUCAAUUUCCCCUUUGUGACACAAUGUGUCCUAAAACAAUACCUGAUUCUACCAUGAAAUGACACUUCUCCCAGUUAAGAACUAAGUUUUUCUCUUUACAGCGUUCUACAACAAGUGUCAAGUGGUGUAGACAUUCAUCAAAAUUGGAUCCAAAUACAGAAAAAUCAUCCAUGAAAACUUCUAAAAAUUUCUCCACCAUGUCGGAGAAAAUACUCAUCAUACACCGCUGGAAUGUAGCCGGUGCAUUGCAUAACCCAAAAGGCAUGCGACGAUAGGCAAAAGUGCCAUAAGGAUAGGCGAAUAUGGUUUUCUCUUGAUCCUCACGUGCAAUUGAAACUUGGUUAUAUCCAGAAUAACCAUUAAGAAAACAGUAAUGAGAGUGGCUAGCUAGACAUUCUAACAUUUGGUCAAUGAAGGAUAGUGGGAAGUGGUCUUUCCUAGUCAUGGCGUUCAGCUUUCUGUAGUCGAUGCACACUCGCCAUCCAGUUUGGACUCGAGUAGGGACUAACUCAUUGUGAUCAUUUUUUACCACAGUGAUGCCAGACUUUUUGGGUACGACUUGAACUGGGCUUACCCACUGACUAUCAGAAAUAGGAUAUAUAAUCCCUGCAUCUAAAGCUUGAUGACCUCGGCUCGAACUACGNNNNNNNNNNNNNNNNNNNNNNNNNNNNNNNNNNNNNNNNNNNNNNNNNNNNNNNNNNNNNNNNNNNNNNNNNNNNNNNNNNNNNNNNNNNNNNNNNNNNNNNNNNNNNNNNNNNNNNNNNNNNNNNNNNNNNNNNNNNNNNNNNNNNNNNNNNNNNNNNNNNNNNNNNNNNNNNNNNNNNNNNNNNNNNNNNNNNNNNNNNNNNNNNNNNNNNNNNNNNNNNNNNNNNNNNNNNNNNNNNNNNNNNNNNNNNNNNNNNNNNNNNNNNNNNNNNNNNNNNNNNNNNNNNNNNNNNNNNNNNNNNNNNNNNNNNNNNNNNNNNNNNNNNNNNNNNNNNNNNNNNNNNNNNNNNNNNNNNNNNNNNNNNNNNNNNNNNNNNNNNNNNNNNNNNNNNNNNNNNNNNNNNNNNNNNNNNNNNNNNNNNNNNNNNNNNNNNNNNNNNNNNNNNNNNNNNNNNNNNNNNNNNNNNNNNNNNNNNNNNNNNNNNNNNNNNNNNNNNNNNNNNNNNNNNNNNNNNNNNNNNNNNNNNNNNNNNNNNNNNNNNNNNNNNNNNNNNNNNNNNNNNNNNNNNNNNNNNNNNNNNNNNNNNNNNNNNNNNNNNNNNNNNNNNNNNNNNNNNNNNNNNNNNNNNNNNNNNNNNNNNNNNNNNNNNNNNNNNNNNNNNNNNNNNNNNNNNNNNNNNNNNNNNNNNNNNNNNNNNNNNNNNNNNNNNNNNNNNNNNNNNNNNNNNNNNNNNNNNNNNNNNNNNNNNNNNNNNNNNNNNNNNNNNNNNNNNNNNNNNNNNNNNNNNNNNNNNNNNNNNNNNNNNNNNNNNNNNNNNNNNNNNNNNNNNNNNNNNNNNNNNNNNNNNNNNNNNNNNNNNNNNNNNNNNNNNNNNNNNNNNNNNNNNNNNNNNNNNNNNNNNNNNNNNNNNNNNNNNNNNNNNNNNNNNNNNNNNNNNNNNNNNNNNNNNNNNNNNNNNNNNNNNNNNNNNNNNNNNNNNNNNNNNNNNNNNNNNNNNNNNNNNNNNNNNNNNNNNNNNNNNNNNNNNNNNNNNNNNNNNNNNNNNNNNNNNNNNNNNNNNNNNNNNNNNNNNNNNNNNNNNNNNNNNNNNNNNNNNNNNNNNNNNNNNNNNNNNNNNNNNNNNNNNNNNNNNNNNNNNNNNNNNNNNNNNNNNNNNNNNNNNNNNNNNNNNNNNNNNNNNNNNNNNNNNNNNNNNNNNNNNNNNNNNNNNNNNNNNNNNNNNNNNNNNNNNNNNNNNNNNNNNNNNNNNNNNNNNNNNNNNNNNNNNNNNNNNNNNNNNNNNNNNNNNNNNNNNNNNNNNNNNNNNNNNNNNNNNNNNNNNNNNNNNNNNNNNNNNNNNNNNNNNNNNNNNNNNNNNNNNNNNNNNNNNNNNNNNNNNNNNNNNNNNNNNNNNNNNNNNNNNNNNNNNNNNNNNNNNNNNNNNNNNNNNNNNNNNNNNNNNNNNNNNNNNNNNNNNNNNNNNNNNNNNNNNNNNNNNNNNNNNNNNNNNNNNNNNNNNNNNNNNNNNNNNNNNNNNNNNNNNNNNNNNNNNNNNNNNNNNNNNNNNNNNNNNNNNNNNNNNNNNNNNNNNNNNNNNNNNNNNNNNNNNNNNNNNNNNNNNNNNNNNNNNNNNNNNNNNNNNNNNNNNNNNNNNNNNNNNNNNNNNNNNNNNNNNNNNNNNNNNNNNNNNNNNNNNNNNNNNNNNNNNNNNNNNNNNNNNNNNNNNNNNNNNNNNNNNNNNNNNNNNNNNNNNNNNNNNNNNNNNNNNNNNNNNNNNNNNNNNNNNNNNNNNNNNNNNNNNNNNNNNNNNNNNNNNNNNNNNNNNNNNNNNNNNNNNNNNNNNNUGAUUUUUGGGCUAAGGACAGGUAAUGAUUUUCCGACCUUAUCUUUUUAAUGGGUUUUACCCUUAAAUUAUUUUAUGCAAAUGCUUAAUACUAAAUGCAGCAAAUAAUCAAUGAUUUUUUUUAAAGUUUAUGCAAUGUCAUUAGGUUGUACUGAUUAAAUGAGCAAGCAAUUUUUUUAUAUAUAUAUUUAUUUUUUUAAAUUUUAUGUUAUAUAUAUAUAGGAAUAACUUGAAUGUAAACUAAAAACUAAUUCUUAUGCGUUAGUGAAUCUCCGAAUGCCCGUUGAAUAAGCUUUGGAGAUUACUCCGUGAGGAGCCCCAAUAGAGGCAUGAUAACCUCGAGGGAUUGCACCCUAUCAAUUACUAACAAUUUUAAUAAUAAUUUUUUUAUUUUUUAUUUUUAAUUUAAUUAAUUUUUUUAACUUUUUUUAUAUUUCAAAUUUCGAAUUUCAGAAUUCAAAUUUUGAAUCUAAAUUUUUGAAUUUUAAUAUUUUUGGUAUUUUUUUAUUUUUUUUGAAUUUNNNNNNNNNNNNNNNNNNNNUGAGGAGCCCCAAUAGAGGCAUGAUAACCUCGGAGGAUUGCACCCUAUCAAUUACUAACAAUUUUAAUAAUUAAUUUUUUUUUAUUUUUUAUUUUAAUUUAAUUAAUUUUUUAACUUUUUUUAUAUUUCAAAUUUCGAAUUUCAGAAUUCAAAUUUUGAAUCUAAAUUUUUGAAUUUUAAUAUUUUUGGAUUUUUUUAUUUUUUUUGAAUUUGAUUUUUUUUCAAAAUUUUAAAUUUCGAAUUUCAAAUUUCAGAAUUUAAUAACUACGAAAUUAUUAACUAAAAAUAAUCAAAACAAGAAAAAUUAAUAGAAAUAAACAAAAACUUACUACCGGAGUGUGUUCACUCCGGGCAUCCAAAAUUUGAUUUGAUCUUCGUGAUCGUUAUUGCUUCUCAAUUUGCCUCCCCGGUAACGACGCCAAAAUUUUGUUGUCCAGUUCCUGUUUACCUAAAAAUACGCUAAACAGAUCGUUGUUAGAACCGACAAACAAAGUUUAAUUUAAUUAUACUCUUACCUUUUCUACACGAAGAAUAGUGGUCAUAAGAGGUCGAUCCAUAGGGAGGCGAUUGGAGUUGCAUAAAAAUUAAAACGUUCACUCGGAUUCAAAAUUGAUUUUUGAAUAACAAAAAAAAUCAUUACGUCGGGGAUGUUGACUGAUUCUCUAGUCUACCAGAAAAUAUUUUCUAUUUGAGAUUAACUAAAAGACAAGUAUAGAUUCGAAAAGCAUUUAUAUAUUUAAUGAAAUAUUUAACUAUUCAGAGGAAAACUUAGGCAUGGAUGAAAACAGUGUUUAAGAAAAUUGAAACUUAGAACAUAGGUUGCAUAAAAAUAAAUUUAUGGAUUGCAUAAAAGGACAAUUACAAAAAAAAUAAAAUGAAGUUUGGAAGCCUAGUGCCUCCUCCUUCUACAAAAUAAAACAUAAAAAUAAAGGAAGAAAUAAAAGAAAUUAGAAAACUCCUCUGUGGCAUGCUCGGUGGCUAUAUUUUUUUAUUUCUCUUUCUUCCAAAACAGAGGAUGCUCUGUUUUCUUUCUUUCUUCUCUCCCCCAACCGAACCUCUCCUCCCCUCUUCUUCAACCGAACACCUCCCUCCCUGGUUCUUAGCCUCCACCCCGCACACCUCCCUCCUCGUCUUCCCCUCUUUAUAUAGCCAACUCUCCCCCGGCUCACACCUGAUCUCACGGGAUGCUGGAAGGAUUGCUUUGGACGAUUUCCUUCUUUGGACCACGGACGCGGGAUCGCCGGACGGCUGAUACGGAAGGCGCGGAGGAUUGGGAUGCGGUGGUUGCUGGCACGGUGGCUGGCACGAGAUGCUUGAUUCGUGGAGACAAUUGGGCGCUAAUCCGCUCUGUGAACGCGGACGGAUGAAGCCGGAGGGAGCUGAUCGCUGGCUCACAGACGGCUGAGAUUGGAUCCGGAUGCAUCACGGGCGGAAGCAGAGGCGGAGGAGCUGCAAACGGACGCUGGGAACGUGGACUUCCUUCUUUGGCCACGGGAUGAUUCGGAAUGGAGCUUGGAAUCACUCAGAAUGGCAGCUGGGCUGGCAUACGGAGACGUGCUGGAAUGGAAGGUUGCUACGGCUAGAGGUACGGACGGAUCGCGGGAUUCCGGACGGUGGAUCCGGAUGAUGGGUGCUGGGAUCACGGACUUGGGAAGAUGCCGGUGAUGAAGCGGGAGAUGGGAUGCUGGGAUGGAAUAUGCCACGGGAUGCUGUGGGCAUUGAAGAUGGAAGAUGUUGAUCCGUGGAAGAUGGACGUGGGAGGUUGGAUCACGGAAGUGGAGGAGAACAUUUUGGAAUGGACGGUUGGUGGCUCCUUGAUGGCAAAAAAUAGAGGAUGACGUGGCUUGAGGCGUUGGGAUUGAAGGCUGAAGAUGAAGAUGCUAAUUUGGAAGGUGCAUGCGAAUGGGAUGCCGGGAGCUGAAACGAAAGGUAAUCCGAUGGACAGCGCGGAUGCUGGGACAUUGCAACGUGUUGAAGACGUGAUGCUGAUGAUGAACCGUGGGAUGGCUAGCACAAUGUGGGGAAUCACUCGGGGGCAAAUGUGUUCGACCAGGUCAUGGUAGGAUUGGGCCUGCGCAAUCUGUACCAAAUGCGCAUUUAAACUUUAAUUUGUAAUAACCUGUACCAAACGAAAAUAUAAUAUUAAACCGGUGAAUUUAUCAUUAUCAGUUAACAAUAGCACUAAUUUAGUUGAUAUGUAGAUCGCACUUUUGUGCUCUCAUCAGUAUGGUAGGAACAGAUUUAGAGGGAACUCUAUUCAAUAUGUAUAUUGCUGAAAGUAGGGCAUCUCCUCAAAGGAAUAAGGGUAAAUCAGUGAAGCUCAUCAUGGACCUGACCAUAUCCAAUAGGGUCCGAUUCCUCCUCUCUGACACUUCGUUGAGUUGAGGUGUACAAGGAGGGGUCCAUUGUGAAACUAUACCAUUUUCUUUGAGAUAAUCUCGGAACUCUCUCCUAAGGUGUUAGCCUUCUCGAUCUGAUCGAAGAACCUUAAUGAGUUUUUCUGUUUGUUUUUCUACUUCAGAUCUGAACUCUUUGAACUUUUCAAAAGUUUCAGACUUGUGUUUCAUAAGAUACACAUACCCAUACCGAAAACAAUCAUUGGUAAAUGUUAUGAAGUAAGAAUAACCUUUUCUAGCUUGCACAUCGAAUGGGCCGCACACAUCAGUGUGUACUAGGGUAAGUAUUUCAUUGGAUCUCUCCCCGUGUCCUACAAAGGGUAAUUUGGCCAUUUUUUCUUGAAGGCAGGAUUCAUAAAUCGGAUAUAACUCGGAAGUUAAUGAGCCUAGAAGCCCAUGUUUCUCCAAUUUGUUUAUUCUGUCUUCUCCUAUAUGACCAAACCUGAGGUGCCAAUUUGAAUUCAAAAUCUUUCUAUGCUAGAAAAGAUACAGAAAUCAAUUUUCUGCUAGCAACAUGUACAAAAUAACAGUCCCUAAGUAUCAAACUAAAUCUAGACGGCAUUCGCAGAGGGUAGGUGCCCACAGCAACAGCAGCAACUUUUGCUCCAUUGCUAACCCGGAGGGUUAUCGCACCUUCCGUAAGCCUUCUACUUUCCUUUAGAUCCUGCAUAGUAGUGCACAAGUGAGCACUAGAACCAGAAUCUAUAACCCAACUGGAAGUAGAAGAAACCGUUAGAUUAGUUUCAAUAAUGAGCAUAUCUGACAUACCUUCAGAAGGCGUGUCACCCUUCUUGCUCUUUAUGCUCCCCAUGUAGAUAGGACAGUUCCUCUUCCAAUGACCGUCUUCGUUGCAAUGAAAACACUUUUCCUUGUCUGCGGUCUUUUUCUUUGGACAUCCUUCUUUGGCUUCUUCUCGGUCUUCUGCUUCUUUGCAGAUUUCUUCUUUCAAGCAGACUUUCUCUUGAAAGUAGAAGUCAACUCGGCAGUGAGAACUGUGCUCCUUGAACUCUUCAAGGCUCCCUCAGUUGUUACCAAUAUAUUUAACAAUUCAAGUUUGGUGCAUUCAAUCUUGUUCAUGUGGUAGUUUACAAUAAACUGCCCAUAUGAAGAAGGAAGGGAUUGCAGGAUCAAAUCAGUUUGCAAUUCAUUAUGCAUGUUCAUGCCGAGCUUCUCAAACUCUUCCAAGUCCUUUAUCAUGGUCAGACCAUGAUCAUGGACAGACUGCCCUUCGCGCAUCUUGGUCUUGAAGAGCCUCUUGGACACUUCAAACCGAGCUGUGCGACUCUGCUCACCAUACAACUCUUGUAGGUGACGCAAUGUCCCUGGCAGUCUUCAUGUUCUUAUGCUGGCAUUAUAGUUCAUUGGACAUAGAUGCCAUUAUGUAGCACCUAACUUUAUUGUCGUCGUCCGUCCACUUGGCAUGUGUCUUACGCUGUUCAGCAGUCGGACGGGUUGGUAACACAGGGAUGUCAUGGUCUAGCACAUACCCUAAUUUCUCACAACUCAAAACAAUCUUCAAGUUGCGGAGCCAAUCCUUAUUGGGUCUGGUUAAUCGGUUGUUCUCAAGGAUGCGGGUCAAAGGAUUAGAGGCUGACAUUUUAUCUGCAGAGAGUAAAGAUUCUAAUUAGAAUUUUGUACUUGAAUUUUUAUUUGUUUUAGGGACCUUUUAAAACAAAACAGGAUCAAAUCCUUCCACUAUUUCUCGAAUCUCUCACACUCUUCUGGUAAGGAUACAGAAAUCUGCGACUCUAGGUUUCAAAUGGGGUGCUAUGGUCCUAUCAAUUUAUAUGCCACCUCACCUAACAGUUAUUGGUGACACAUAAACAAUGAGUGUACAACUCUUUGUACAAUGCCUCUCAAGCAAGUUGUAGCCUACUUGGUCUCCAAGUCAUAAGAACCUCACCUAAUAGUUAUUGGUCCCGUUCCUUGGUUAAGUCAGAUCCACUGUAAUUCCCGCAGAAGUAAAGUCGUCAUUGAGCCCUCACCUAACAGUUAUUGGUACUCAACCCCACCUCUACCCUACAACAUCUCAUGCCAAUAGAAAGAUCCAGUCCCCCGAUGCAACUUGCCCGCUGUGUCCAGCCGAGACAAAUCAACGCCGGAAAGAUCUUAGCAACUCUACUAUGGUGGAAGACCUCUAGACUUAAUAUUGGGUAAUCUAGUCUUAGUGAUUCCAACUUUGAGCUAUUCAUAGGAGAUAAUCGAUCAAUUGGCCAGGUAAGCAGGUGGGAGGCUCCCCUUACUCAGAGAGUAAGGUCCUAAUUAAGUACCAUCUUUAAUGCUUUCCUAGACACCAAUUAGAUCAAUUAAUCAAAUAUGGCUAGCUCAAUAUAUCGUUCACUUUCGACUGAUUGAGGAGGUUUUAGGUCUUAAAGGAUUUACAUCUAAUGUAAUAAUCUAUCCCAAACCAAAUGUUAUAUUAUUACAUCUUAUGCAAAUGUCACAUUGGUUCAAGUUUACAUCCUAUGUAAAUAUGAAACUCUUUUAUAGAUUAUGUGAUUACAUCUUUUGUAAAUGACAUAAUUGUUUCAGUUUACAUCUUAUGUAAAUGUUCUAUUGUUUAAGAAUUUUAUUUACAUCUCAUGCAAAUAAAUUCUGUUUAACUAAUACAUACAUCUCAUGCAUACAUUUUAAACACAUCCUCAAACAGGGAUUGACUCAUGUAUGCUUGGAGUCGACUCGAGUUAACUUUGAGUCGACUCGAGUUGACGUAGAGUCGACUCGGGUGGACUUCAGUUAACCCGAGAGCUCCUGAGUCUCUUGGAGUCGAUUCGAGUAUACUUGGGGUCGACUCGAAUAGAAUUGGAGUCGACUCGAGUAUGCUUGGAGUCGACCCGAUUAGUCUUGGAGUCGACUCGAGUGUGUUUGGGUCGACUCAGCUAGUCUUGGAGUCGACUCGAGUAUGCUUGGGGUCGACUCGAAUAGGAUUGGAGUCGACUCGAGCAUGCUUGGGGUCGACUCUUCUCACGUGAAUUCUGAAUUUUGAUUCCAUUAGAUGCAUCUCAUGCAUCUAAUUUCCGAUCUAAAAAAUUUAGAUAUGCUAUCAACUGAAAUUAUGAUCAUGCAAGACAUGUUUUUAUUAUUUGCAAUCUCAUUGUUUUAAUUAAAACAACGUGCAAGAUCAAGAUUUAAAAAAAAAUCUGCAUGCUAAAAUUUCAGCAAGCAUAUAAAAAUUUCAGAUCUAAAUUAAAUCCUAAUCAUGCCUAUUAAUCUUAAUUUAAAUUUCUUAAACACAGCUCUGAUACCACUGUCGGAUUACCCCCGCACGCGUUGCGACGAUCGCAGCGGAAAGACACGCGCGGGGUUGUUCAUCUCAUGAACGUUCUAGGAAACAUAGAUUUCAAAAAUUUUCUAAAGUUCUCUAUCCCAGAUUUAUGAAAUCUAAAGGAAAGAUUAAAAUUAAAAGACUAGAUUAAUUUCAGAUCUACUACAAUUCCUAAUUGUAUAGAAUUUAUAAACACUUAAUCUUUACCUUUGAGUGGGUAGAACUUCACCGCUGUCUAAUGAUCGUAGGAUUUCUGGUUCUCUUGAAGCCGCACAAGCGUCCGACUUCUACAGGUAUCCACACGAGGUACAAAUGCUCCAAGAUCUCACCGGGGUGCUAGCUCCCUUGCAGAGAUCACCUUUGAUGGUUGAAUUCCUCUCUUUUAAUCAACUCCUUGAUUACUUUGAGAGGAAGAAGAAGGAAGACGACGAACGUCGAAGGGGAGGAAGAAGAAGACGGCGGCUCUUCUUCUUUCUCUCUUGCUCACGCCAAAGGGAAGAAGGAGGGAGAGGAUGGCGGCAGCAAAGGGGCUUCAAUACUCUUAUGCUUCAUGCCAGGGCCCUUUAAAUAGGCAUCUCAUGCCCAUACAAACAAGAAAUAAUUUCAGAGAUCAAUCACUCCUUGAUUCAUCCAUCCAAAAUCUGCAACACCCCUUAAUUCUAUCACAACCUUUACUUAAAAGAGUUUGAAGAGAAUCCAAGAGAUGUGCUCAUGCCAUGUGGCAAUCCGCGUGAACCAGGAGGAGGAGGAGAUCCACCCCUCCACAUGGCGUGGAGACCAUGAAAGGAAAGGAGGGGCAGACGCCCCUCCUUUCUUGGUGCGUGUGUGAGGAGGGGCGGAUGCCUGUCCCUCUAUCAUGGAUCCCGACAUGACGGAGGUUAUGGAUAACUCGUCAAACUCCAUUGUUUGUCUUAUGUCGGAUUUAUUUGACUCAAGUUCGAGAGUGGAAAACUCCUUUUCUAGAACUGCUCUGGCCAAGGUCUUUCGAACUUAGUCUCAUAAAUCACAUAGGAUCUCUCCUAAUCUAUCAAGGUUCCCAUCUAGGUGCAGCCCUAAUCCGACAGUGAACUUACCGCAGCCAAGCUGCACCACAAGGACCAUUAGGGCAAAUGUUUAUGUGCUCGUCAAACUACAGCAACCUCACCGUGAUUAGCUGAGGCAUCACAGGUCUAAGUACUAGUCAUACAACUGCAGCAUCAAGUAAGUCACCGACGAGUGGAUAGACAUCCAAGUGACUUCUUGCUUUGGUCACGCUCAGUAUCUUUGUUCUUUAACAAGCACUUGCACAAUCAUCCCAGUGUUGCCACAUGUUGGACUUAAGACUCGUCCAUCAAGAAAAGUGAUCUGUGCACUAAUCUUAUCGGAUCGAUCACCGUCCUUUGUGAUGAUCCUUCGAUCAGGAGCAGUUCAGGAAUUACCUAAUGACACAUGUCUUAAAUUCUCAACUCUUGAGAAUAUGUGUUAUUAUCUCAUUAAUUCCUAGGACGAUUCAUGAACACAUAAUAACAUUAAUGAAAAGAAGACCCAAUUUUAUUGAUGAAUAAAAUGAUCAAGUACAGUUGUUAUGUCCUAGAAUUAAUACAAUGCAUCUGCCAUAUUGGCUUCUAGGGCAUACUUCUAACACGUAUACCUCCUCAUAUGAUUUCUAUUAAAAACUUGUUCCUAUCUCAUUCUUAUACCAAGAAUAGUUAGUCUUUUAUUUGUAUGAAUAUGCAUGUAGUUCAUGCAUGAGUGCAGUUAAAUGCUCCGAAUCUACACAUAAACCUACCAUUAUCUGCAUGUUUCCAGUUUAGAGUUGAAAAUGUGUUUGAUCUACUAACAUUGUUAUGCGGUAGACUUAACCACAUCAUGCUUUAGCUGUUAGAUGGUCAUUGUUUCUUGAUAUAGAUAUACAUGAGUGUAGUUGAAUGCUCUGAAUCUACACUUAAACCUACCAUUAUCUGCAUGUUUCCAGUUUAGAGUUGAAAAUGUGUUUGAUCUACUAACAUUGUUAUGCGGUAGACUUAACCACAUCAUGCUUUAGCUGUUAGAUGGUCAUUGUUUCUUGAUAUAUAUAUAUAUAUAUAUAUAUAUAUANNNNNNNNNNNNNNNNNNNNUAUAUAUAUAUAUAUAUAUAUAUAUAUAUAUAUAUACAAGCUAAUUUUGUCACCUCCCUCUCAUUUGUAUAUAUUUGUAAACUUCAUUUUGUACAGUGUCAUUGACAUGACCCACUUGACCCACACACUCGACAUUAUACACAGUUUGAUACGUUGGUUUUAACUACUCAUGGGCUGUAGAUCAUGGCUAAGGAGAAUGAGCACUUUGCAGUUAUACCCGUAAUGGUGAAUUAUGGGUUGUUUGACCUUAAAUCAUAUCUAGCUGUUAUGGUAAUCUGAGACAUGCAAAUUAGAUAUGCUUAGGUCAUUUCUGCGGGUCCAGUCAGAUGUUGCCACUUUUUACGGAUGCCAUCAAAAGUCAUGACUGAAACCAUAGCAUUCGUGGUCAUGCAUUUACUCUACAUGAUAGCUACGUCAUACAAGAAGUUUAAAGGUCACAGUGUUAGGCAAGUUGAGUAUGUUAUUCAUACAAUAUACAGUGAAUAGUUGCAAUUGCCAUGCAACUGGUGAGUGAGUCAGUUAAUCCACUUUUUGGAGUGAUCUUAAGUUGAGACUAGCAUGGAAUGACUUAUGAAAAAAAAAUGAAAAACUUGGGAUUUUCCCCUCUUAUUCCCUUCCAAAAAACAAAAAUUUAUGAAUGACAACUCUAGUGAGUGUUUAGACACCUCUAAAAUGUUCCCUAUACCAUCAGCUUGUUGAUAAUAGCUAAAUUAAAUUCAUGGCCUUAACUGAGUUAAGUCAAAUAGCUGAUCUAAUUUCAGCGGUCACCUUGUUUCUUGGUGAAGAAAUAAGCUAUCACCUUUCGGGGAUUCUUUUGUUUCAUUUAUUCUUCAUUUUUUCUGUGCUUUGAUUGUGAAGCUUAUGCUCUUAAGGACACUCCAGUGUAUAUGGGAGCAAUAAUUUGGAGCAUGGUUUUAACUUCCUACCUUGCUGGCUGGCAUGUACCAUGCCGAACCAGUAACACACUUGGCAAAGGUUGACAGGCAUGUAUUAUUUUUAGUAUUUCUAAUUAAGAAAAGGCUUUUUUCUUCUCUUUCUUGCUCUCUUGUGUUUCAGCAUGGAACAGCUGGUUUGCUAAAAUGGCAUGGUAUGAUACAUGUUGUGCCAUGCUGGCCAUUGGCUGAUAUGUUUUGUGUAGAUGGAAGUUACAUCUUUGUUUUGGAGUAAAUGUGCCAUACUUAAAGCAGCAUAUAUUAGGCAUAUGCGUCAUACCUUAUAUUGUGUAUCUUAUUAGAGGUGGAUGUAUCAUUGUUGAACUCUUAGCAGCUGAUAUCUUCUCCUUAUUAGCUGAUAAAAGAAGGUUACCUUGGCCUUGGGUAAGGCUACCGUAACUAGUAAUUACUAUAGCUAAUAAAGUUUGAGUGAAUAAUAUAAUUAACUAUGAUAAUUUGGGCCUCGGAAAUAUUAGAGAAAAAGGAAAGAAAAAUGAUUCUGUUUGUUUUGAUGAUCUUCAAUCUUCACAAAUAUGAAGCUCAAGGUUUUAAAUACCAUGGUGUCCCAAUUUCUCCACGGAAGGGGACAGCUUGUCCUAGUUGCCGUCUCGGUCGAGUGUCUUGGUAGGUACCUUUCAUCUCUUUCCCCUUCUUCUUUCUUUUCUUUCUUUCUUUCUCAUUUAUUUAUUUUUCUUCUUUUUUUCUUCCUCUCUUUCCUUUUUCUUCUUUUUUUCUUUUUCCUUCAUUCAUUUCUUUCUUUCUUCCUUUUUUUUCUCCCUUCCUUUCCUUUUUUUUUUCUUUUUUCCCCUUCCUUUGUUCUUUCCUUCCUUUCUUUUUCUUCUUCUCUUCCUUCCUUUCUUUCCUUUUCCUUCUUCUUUCCUUUCUUUCUUUCUUUCCUCUUUCAUCUUCUUCCCCAUGUGGAUGUCCCUUUCCUGGUCCCAUUUUCUCAUAUGAACGGACUGAAUGGCCGGGAGUCCCCCAUCUUGCCAUGACCUAAAACCUUGAUGAAGAUACACUUCCAACCUAUGUCAAUUCCUGAAUCAUAUACUUAAAGGUUGUGAUCUGUGCAUUUUUUCCAGAAUUUGAAUUGUCAUUUUACCUAGCCCGUUUUCAAUGUUAUCAUCUUUUCUUGAUCUUCUUUACCAUUCAGUAUAUGAUUAAAAAAUUUACUGAUUGUCUCACACUAGCAAGAACUUAUAGGCUUUUCCUGUUGCUUCUAUCCUUUAUUCACGAGAUGUUACAUGACAAUAAAUCAUGAUUCAAACUCUGUUUUAUGCUGUGUGUGAUGUAUCCAUGGAUUUGAAAAUAUGGAUAUGUGGAGCUUCAAAAAUGCCCUCCACUCUGGAGUUUUGGUUAUAUGGCAGUGGCGAUGUCACUUUUUGGACAAGUGUACAGUGACCAUAAAUAUUGCCUUGAAAAAAGGAAUGACAAUAAAUGAUUUAUGCAUUCAACAAGCAAAUAGUUGGGUUAAGGCUUAUUGGAUAUUGAUUUAUUUACCAGGAAACAGUUUGUGGUGCAAUUCGAAGGGAUAGGUGUUAUGAGGUUCCUAUUUGGGAAUUUGGACGAUAGAACUCCCGCUAUAGCUCUGCUAAUAGAGUGAUAAUGGCGCUUAAUGAUGGAGAUUGGUCAUAAUAAAUGGAUGGGAGUUACGGAAAGCAUGAGAAAUUAAUUUGGGUGGCUGUGAGUUCAAAUCCGUCAAAGGAGCAAAGGGGUGUGCAUAUGAUGGUGCAAGUGCCAUAUUUUAAAAAAGGUAGGUUGGUUUUGGAGGUUGGAAGCUCAUAAUGGCCCACCAUUUUCCCUCUAGAAGGAGUGAAUAAUUGUUUGCAUGCGAAGUUCUUGGGGAUUAUAUUAAAUUGAUGGCAUGUUUUUGUCUCUUUAAUAAAGGCGAAGCAGAUAAACUUGUUUGGAGCAAAAACUUCACGUCUAAGUAUGUUUUCAUCUCACUAGCUAUAUACCUUUACUUUUGUGUAGAUAUAGUGUUUUGGUAGAGAAAACUGGACAAUACAAAGUCAUUGUCUCUGCUGCUGCUUCUUAGUUGUUUCUUCAAAAAUAUUAUUGCUUUUGGAUAUGCAGUGGACAUAGUCAGCCUCCACUGUCUUCUUAAUGAAGUUGCACUUAAUACAAAGACAAGGUAUAAUAUAUAAUUCAUUUGAGGCGAGCGAUGGCUUCGAGAUUUUGUUGAGAGAGGAGUGGUAAACCAUGUGCAAGUAAAUUUAUGUGGAUGCUUAUCUUUAUCUGUAUAAGAAUAGUAUUUGAUCACAUGCAUUAGAUGUUGGUUUAAAAGGUUGACAUUAUUUUUAUUUAUAUAUAAAUUAUAUAAACAAUUGUAAUGAAAAUUUUUUAUAAAAGAGAUAAAGUUAUGUACAGGAUAUUGCUUUAGAAUGGACAAUUAUCCUUUUGGAUUUUCUAUAAUUUUGCAAAAUCAGUAUACGUUAAAAAUUUAUGAUGGCACAUUAAUCUAUUGCCUUUUCAUUACUUCCUGUUAUAAUGGUUAGAAGUGCUUGUUAUAACAGCCAUUAUUAUAUUUUAAGAAAUAUCAGGUCAAUGGUUUGAUUUGGUUAAUUAUCGCCCAUUUUUUUAGUAUGACAGUAAAUAAGAUUUUUGAAUGUGGUCCAUUAACAGGGAUGUUGAUCUAAUUGAAAUCUUGAUUUAUGCAUAGUAACAUUCUCAAAUAAAAAAUGAAUCUAACUGAUCGUUAGCUUUUCUUCUUUCCAUGAGUUUUCUGUUACCUUUUUCUUGUGUUACACAUUACAAAUCUUGCCUUUCUGGUGAUUUCUGUUUUAGGCGGUUACAUGAAACUAUAUGCCUUGAUUCGGGGAUUUGUGGAUCCUAAGAAAGGAUCAAUUUUGGAGUAUAUCGUGGGCAGUUUUUAGCAGGAUAAGAUAGUGAACGGUAAGUGUUUGGUAAGGCAUUAGUGGUUUUCAUCAAAGGUAUUUUGGAGAAAAAAGUGAGAUGGUGUCUUCCUUGAAUACUCAAAUCCAAAAGUCUCAUUUUUUAAUGUAUGAGAGGCACUGACACAAGCUAUUUUUUAAUUACAGGGGAUAAGAAUUGGUGAUAUUAUAUGGCAGAAAACAUGACAAUCAACUGGUCAGUAGAGAAUUUUGAUGUUGAACAGUUACUGGAUGUAGAUAAAAUUGUGGUUGAUUAGUUGUUUAGGGACCUUUCAAGAUUGGUUACAUGGUUCUUCACACUCUUCAAGACAUGUUGGCUAUCAAUAAAAUAGAUCAACAUGGAAUUUUGUUCCAAGAAUGCCACCGAUUGAUGACCUAAUUGUUAGCUAGCUCAUUUUGUCUUGCUUUCUGUUAAGAAGUUCUGAAAUCAAGAAUAUUGGGUGGUUCUUUCACAUGAAAAAGAUAUCAUGAGGAUGCAUUGCAGCAUUAGUUUCUGUUUAGUUUUCCAACAGUAUUAAUGGCUAAGAUCUUGGCAUAUUCUUUUUGGUCUUUUUGACCCUGAUUGUUUGUUUUCUAAUAUGUUUUAUGCUCUAUCUGCUGCUGAUUUUCUUUAUGGCCAUGGGUGCUUUUAUCAAUAUAUAUAUAUAAUCAUUCUUUUGAUGGCGUUCUGUAGGUUUACUAAUAUGCAGAAAUUCUGCUUUACUGUUGCUAGUAAUUUAAUGUUACGGCUAUAGUUUGAUCAGCAACACACAGAAUCCUUUUUCUUUAAAAAAUGAGAAAUGAGGGCUAUUUGUUCCACUCUUUGCCCCUGUUGCUAUUAGCCUGCACACUAGCCGACUGAUCAUAUCAUUUCAUGUAGGAACCAGUUUGCAGAACAUCUUUAUGGUUAUCCUGCAUCAGAAGCCAUUGGUCAGGAUGCCAUUGAGCUACUGGUUGAUGCCUGUAAUUUCAACAUUGCAAGCAACAUAAUCCAACGUAUAACCAUGGGGGAGAGCUGGACAGGCAAAUUCCCUGUCAAGAACAAGUCAGGAGAGCAAUUUUUAGCUAUUGCCACAAACACACCUUUUUAUGAUGAUGAUGGUAGUUUGGUUGGCAUCAUUUGUGUGUCAAGUGAUUCACGGUGCUUUCAGGAGACGACAUCCCCUCCAAGCUGUACAAAACCCCAAUCAACUGUCCGGAGUACGGCAAGUCAGCCUAGAAUCAGUUUAACAAGUAAAGGCAGUUCUGAUUCUGAGCAACCUUUCCAAGCUGCUAUUGCAUCCAAAAUAACCAAUCUGGUAAGUUAAUUUCUAUUACAAUUUCAUGCAACUAGAAGGAAGGUGGUAGAAUGUAGUAUAUGUCAUAAAAGCAUCUGGCGAUGUAUUUCAUAAUUAGAGAAAUCUGGAAUAUAUUGUGAAUUUAUCUUUUCUAGUGUAUUCUUUCUUAAUUUUUUGCAAUGCCAAACAGGCUACUAAGGUCACAAACAAAGUUCGUUCUCGGAUAAGGACAGGUGAAAGCAGUAUGGAACGUGAAUGUGGGAAUGGAGAGAGCCAAUAUUCUGACCACGAUGCUGUUUCAUCAGAGCACAAGGAGGAUGCUACUUCAAGUGGAGUUAGCUCACCGAGAGGUGACAUACCACCUUAUGCCUUAUGUACAUCUUCUUCUGCGGCCACGGAGGAAAAAUCUCCUGGAAAAGUAACUAAAGGUAAUAAUGAAGAGGUUGAAGGAAAGACAGGGUUUCAUAAGAUCAUAAGCUCGAAGGCAGAGGCAUUGUUAGCUAAGAAGGGGAUAUCAUGGCCCUGGAAAGGGUAUGAGUAUGAUGGUGCGGAUGUGAAGAAUCGCUUUGUCUGGCCAUGGGUGCACGGUGAUCAGGAAACUAGCUUGACUCAUCAAAGGGCUUUUGAAUCUAGUGUAAAGCCAGAAAGCCAAGUGAUUGAAAGCAACAGAACUGGCAAUAAUGAGGUUUCAGGAUCCGGGUCCUCUUUCAAUGUUAACAGUACAAGUAGUGUUAGCAGCAGUGGAAGUACCAAUAGCAGUGCUAUUCACAAAGCGGAUAUGGAUACUGACUGCUUAGACUAUGAGAUCUUAUGGGAAGACCUCACAAUUGGAGAACAAAUAGGUCAAGGUAGUUAUCUUCCCCUAUCAUGAAAACAACGGCAUUUAUUUCUUUGAGCACUAUUAGUUUAACCAGAAAUCAUGCAAUAGAUGAUUGCAACAAGCGUUCCUCUCUUGUUUUAUGAUCCUAGAUACGUAUUUUAGCUGUUGCUUUCUUUAUUCUUGUGGUCUCUUUAUUAUGGUUGCGAGCAAAAAUGUACUUUGUGAUGGUAACUUAUGGCCGUCGAUAUUUUACAAUGGAUUUGCGAUUCUUCUGUCACUUGUAUCUUAUAUUCAUUCCAUUGCUUUUUGUUCUUACUAUUAUUUCUUAGAAUAAUUUCAGAAGCAAUAUUGGCAUUACCUGCUUAGCCUCUUUUAUAAUUGAUAAGCACUUCACUGCAAGAUAUGCCGUACCGGCCCGUACCGAGUGGUUCGGGGCGUACCAUACCAGUUCGGCACUGGUAGCCAGUACGGGUGGCGUACUGAUAUUUGUUAUGCCAAAAAAAAUUUAUACUGUACCAUACCAAUACUGUGCUAGUGUGACACCUAUGGGGUCUGAUAUCGAGACGGCGAACCUUGCUUCACUGCCUGUACAGAUAGAUUGAGUAUCCUUGAUGUAUUGUUUGCUUAUAUUUGGUUAGUAGGUUCUUGGGUUAUACAUACACACACAUAUGUUACAUGCAUAAAAACAUAUGUUUGUGUGUAUGUGGAAGCUGGUUCAUGGUUAAUUUUCAUGUUUUGAUAUCGACUUUUUCCCAAUUGUCAGCCAGCUAGUCCUGGACAUCUGCCUGAUUAAUCAAACCUGCUCCAUAAGGUACCAGUACCUGGCAAUUUCUCUAUACAAUUACAGAUUUUCUGAAACACAAUUUCUAUGGUACUUUCUCAAGCUUUAUAUUCUGAAGUCCUGCAAUAGAGUUUUGGCUUACAUAUAUUUUGUUUAACUUUUUAUUGUGUUAUCAGUUAUCACGCUUUAUAAUGACUUUUGUAACUUUUAUUUUGUCACAGAAUUUUGCAUAAAGGUGAUGACUCUGUGCUUUUUUUAAUUAAUUCAAAAGUUCUCAUUGAGCUUCUUGUUUUAAGCAAUUUGAUUUCUAUGAAAGCUUGGAGCUAUGGAUUUUGGUCCAGUGUGAAAGUCAAAAUCUGAACGAUUGCUGGAAGUUAAUUGUAGUCUGUUAUGUUAAUAAUUAAUUACUUCAUCUUAGGAUUUCUAUUGCAUGCCUAUGUUUGUCAUUCUCUUGCUAGAGGGAACAAGAAGUACAUGCUGAAGAGUGGAUAUUUAGUGAAGAGGCAGUCAGGUUCUUGGCUUUUCAACUGGAAUUUUACUCUACCAUGAUAACCAAAGACCCCCUAAUCCAGGAGUAUGAAAUUUAUGUUCUGCAGUUUUUUCAUUAUACAAAUUGAAUCAGUGAUCCAGUGUGUCAUUUUGAAGAAGGUUUUAGAAUAUCAUACUCCGAAGUAAAAUGGAUGAUGUUGUGGAAGGCAUUCACAUAGUCACAUCUGAUGAAUUUUCUCAAAUUUCGGAUGCCAUCUGGGGCUAGUUACUGAAGCCCAAAAGAUAUUUGAAGAAGUUUUGGUGGUGCUUGCUUUCAUUACUUUUUGCUCCUCCUAUAAGAUGAAUAUCAUGACCCCCUUUCUCCACAGCCCCCACACAACAAACAUGCAGACAUGGGUAAAAGGAAGAAUUAGGUUGUGGAGGUUUGUUAAUAGGAGGAAUUUGGCCAACUUUAGCAUUUUUGAGCUUUGUAUGUCCUUAUUUAUCUAAUAAACUUUCUUGCUUCCUUGAUUGAAAUUGUGUUUGAAGGAUUUAAUAGUGUUAGAUCCGAGUUUACAGAUUUCAUAUCCUCUGCUGCUGGUUUCUUUUUAAUCUACUUUUCUUUGUUUUUUUGUCAAUAUGCGCCGAUGAUAUGGCUGGUAAACUGUUUUAUGUAUGUUGUACAUUUUCAGCAAAAUCCUUUGUUUCACAGGGCUUUAAUUUAUUUGUGAAAGAACUUUACAUUUAGCAAUAUAUAGUAGACUUGGUUCUGGUGGAAUCCAUACCGGCUGUUUACUUGGUCCCUAGAUUGCAUAUCUGCCCUCUUUGAGAAUCUUUUUUUAUAUAUAAUUUAUGUUUUUCAUGAAUGCUUUGAGGAAGUUUAAUUGCUUUCCACUUUGCUUGAUUUCUUCAAGUUCUUUAAUUAUAAUUAAUUUUGGCUCUCACAAAAAAUAAAAAACUGGUGCCAUAUAAUUUUUGGAUUUGUUUUAAAUGAAAAGAAGGAAAAAAGGGGAUCAUGUGAUGUUAUACCAUCUGCCAGUUUAUCUUUUCAUCAUUAUGCUAGAAUCUUGGCCCUUGUGGAGUGUCAAAUGAUGAAAGAUCUCUUAAGAACUAUCAUUAUCUAGAUAGGAACAUCAUUUUGCAUUGAGCUUUUAGAUAUUUCAGGUAAGCGGACAGGUGCAGGUUUCCUUCUUCCCUAAUCAUGUUGAAUGAUUACAAUACAACUGACUUUAAAAUAGAUUACUGAUGAAGACUACUGUCUCAAGAUUUCUUAGAAGAUAUUGCCAUAUGCUUUGCAUGCUUAUGGUUUUGUUAUCUUAUACUUGUUCUGUUUUUCUGCUUUCACAGGUUCUUGUGGAACUGUAUAUCAUGCUCUGUGGUAUGGCUCGGUAUGUUUAUUGUAUUGCUUUUCACUGAAUGAGGAUUCUCUUGUGAGGAGCGCAGUCCAUCCCGUAUAUAUAUACACAUAUAUAUAUACACAUAUAUACAUAAAUACAUACAUAUAUAUAUACAUAUAUAUAUAUACAUAUACACACACACACACACACACACGUAUAUAUACACACACACACACAUGUAUAUAUAUAUACACACACACACACAUACACAUAUACAUACAUACACAUAUACAUACACACACAUAUACAUACACAUAUACAUAUAUAUACAUACACAUAUACAUAUAUAUACAUACACAUAUACAUAUAUAUAUACAUACACAUAUACAUAUAUAUACAUACACAUAUACAUAUAUAUAUAUACACAUAUAUAUAUAUACACACAUAUAUAUAUACACAUAUACAUAUAUAUAUAUAUACACAUAUAUAUAUACAUAUAUAGGACUGAUGCCUUAUGAGUGUGAUUCCAUACUGGGAGUUGCAUGCAUACCUUAAGAUAAGAUUGAAAGAAUACAUUCAAGCAACCUAUUGAUCAUGUAUUGGCUAUAACACAUAGUCACAUACACAAUAAGCUAGGGUUGUGUCUAUCUUUAUCACCAUAUGGCCUUUCUUGGAGUUAAAACAAAAAUGAUCCCAACCCUUUCAGAUAGCUUAUACACGGUUCUACUUGAUUAAGCAAUCGUAGUACAGGUGUCAGUCUAAAAUGGCAAUUUUCCAUAGGACCAUUUGGAAUGAACUUUAUGGUAUAUGUCUUAUACCAAUGCAUGCUUGCAUAUAUAGUUUCAUACGUUAGUACAGGAUUGCCGAGCAAAUUUUUUCCUGUCAUACAAAAUGUUUUGAAUAUGAACUGCACUGAUCAGUCAAGACAAGAUAGGAUUUCACAAUGAUGAGCUCUAGCAUCCUUCAAUAGUAUAUAUGUCUUCGUUAAAGAUAAAAUGUCAAAAGCCAAGACGAACUUUCUCUUGCAUACUUAGAGAAAAGUUAAAAGUCAGGAUGAAAUCAACCAUUGCUCCGACAUCAAAUCUAGAUUUUCUCCAUAAAUACAGAAAACCCUAUCCCCUAAAAUUGACAACCUUUUUUUUUUUGGUGUUAGACAUUGCAUCAUCCAAUCUCUUGCUUCCAGCUGUGUUGAAUCACUAUUCCUUUCCAAAUCUCACCCUAUCUUCGGUUUCUACCUCCAGUGUAAGUCCUGCGAAUGAUCCCAUCCUUCAUAAUCUCUUCAAAUGGGAUAGAAUUAACUGGCUAGCAUGACCCAACCUCUCAAAAUAUUAUUUAGAUCAAUAGCUGAAGUUUCUACUUCGGUGCUUUGCUUUAGAAACUCUUUAGAACUUUGCUCCCUCACUCACUUUCCAGGUGCUUCCUUAUAUAUAAUUUCUUUGAGAAUUCUGCUGCUCUGCUCCUGCAUACACUCCAAAUCUUCGCAACCAAAUGUUAAGUGAUCAUCACUCCCUCCAGACACGCUGUAGGAAAAAAAAAAGAACGUUAGGCUGGUAGGCUCCGUUAAGAAAGUAUCUUACAGCUUCUCUGACUUUUUAGGUACCUUAAUGAGGGUUAAAGAUGCACACAAGUGCAAGAUUAACAAGAAUGGAUUGGUCUGUCAUAAUUUUCUUUCACAUGUUAAGAGAUUGCCCUUUCGCUCUUCAUCUUUUGUCAAACGUCUCAGUUGUUGACUAAUAACGUGGGCUUAUAAACUUGGAUGCCGGUGAUAUGAAGCAUCCCUACCAAAUCAUCUGAUUGUAGAUUUCAUUGCCUAAUUAGCCUAGACGUCCAACUUUUUUCUCGACAUAGGUCUCUUUAGUUUCACUAAGGCUUAUAAGGACUCUCUAGGGUUCACUUGUAGACCUAUAACCACUCUAAGCAUUUGAGCUGGAAUGUAGGAUUAGUUGGCAAAAUGGAAAAGAUGUAAAGGAACUCACUUAAGACCAUGGUCGGCAGAACCGUCCCGAAUCGGGCGGUUCCGCCCGUUUCGAGCCGUACCGGGCGGUUCCGCCCGUUUCGAGCCUUACUGGUGGCUCAUCGGUACGGUUUGGGCUGUAAAAAUGGAAUGCUGCUAGAGCUGGAGAAGGAGAAGAGAAAGAGAGAGCGAGCGGGGGAGGGAGGGAGGAGAGGCAGCGGACGACAGCCGAAGCCGCAGCCUGUUCCCCUGUUUCGCUGCCGUGGCCUCCGCCAGCGUCCACCACCUCUCUCUCUCUCUCUCUCUCUCUCUCUCUCUCUCUCUCUCCUCCUUCUCCGGAUCCAGCAGCGUGCCCUCUCUCGGUACGGGCCCGUUACGGCCUGUACCGAGUCGUCCAGCCGGAGAACCGGUACAGUGCCCGGUACCGGUUCCUCCGACCUUGCUUAAGACAGGAUGCAAUCAAACUGGUUGAAAUUAGUUAUAUAUCAAUGACGUCUACAAAAUGUGCACACCAUCUAAUUUUGCAACAAAAUUGCCAGGCUUACAAUCAAAGAUACUUCAUGCUUGUUAGUGCUAUGUAAGGGUAACAUGGACUUGCAAUGAAGCAGUUAUACUGGUUGAAUUGUUGUUAACCUUACACUAUGGAGCUAAAGUAUCUUAUUUCAUUGCAGGAUGUGGCCGUUAAAGUAUUCUCAAAGCAGGAAUAUUCUGAUGAAGUCAUACUUUCCUUUAGACAAGAGGUAACUUUCAAAACUAAGCUUGCAUCUCUCAAAGAAUAAGGAUCUGUGAUUACCUUUACGAUUCGACAUAUUUAAGAAGCUGAAUCUUGGUUUUAAAACAUCAUCUUCUAGCAUGUUAUUUAAGUUAUAACAUUGAUACAUGAAUCAUUUAGGGGUUACAAGUGAUUCGUCUAAUAGAGAGAUACUCAAUUUGUUCAAGAAGUUGCUAUGUCGUUACUUGCACCUGUGUGCAUCUUACAUGUGAAUGCAUGUCAAAGAGAAGGAUAGUAUCACACCUGAAUUGAUUUGUUAAUUUUACAGAUUCAAGCCUAAGCCUGUUGGAAUUUAGACUUCUGUCUACCAGAAUAUCUAUAGCAGUUCAUAGCGGUAUUCCAUCCUUGAAGAUUAAAACUAUCUGCUGAUUCUGAUAGCUUUUGAUUUUACCUGUACUUUCAGCUGCUGAGAUUAAUUUUCAUCGUCGUUGAUGGCUUUUGUGCAGCCACUCUUUUUUGAUGGCUCAGUUUAUCAUUCUCUCUUUUCCCCAGAAGUGCUAAUAUAAAAUAACGAAACUAUAAUUUUCAUUAUCUAGUUCACAUAAUACAAUCACAAAGAGCUUUGAAGGAUUCGUAUCCUUCAAAAUGAAAAAAAUUGAUUCACUUAUAAUUUGCAUUUAUCUUAGACAUGUAAAGUUUGCAAUUUGAAAAUUGAAAACUUGAGCUUUAACCUAGAAAGCUGACAUGUGGAAUCUCAAGUUAGAUUAAUGUGAGAGCACAGCCAUUGUAGCUCUGGGUAUUAUUGAAUUCAACAUGGACAAUCUAUCUGGAUCAUUAUCCAUAAGGGUUCCUCUUCAUCAGACAUCAAUCCUCCAAGGAGUAUUUACAUUAGGCUCUAAAAAUAUUUUUAUUUUUAAGUUUUAGAUGAAUUUAAUUCUAUAAGAACAUGAUGCUAUUUUUUGGUGGAUGGAGAAUUGAUUGUAUGCCCCUUCUACGAUAUAAGUAAAUUGACCAUGAUCAACCAUUUACAUUUAUUGUUUCAUGCAAGGUUUGCCGUCUUUGUAUCCGAUUUCAUACUGGUACCCAUGUUGGUACGAUAUUAGUAUACUUAGUACAGGGGUCUGUUUGGCAUACUGAGACUCCAUACACCUUUCCGUACCAAGUCUCGAUUCAGUACCAGUAAAGUACAAUAUGGUAUGCCUAGUACAGAGCAGUAGGCGUGGUACGGAGCGGUGAGCACCGUUACGGCGAGCUAUUAUAUGCAUUGUUGUGGAAUAAUUUUGCUUUAAAACCAUCUUCAAAUCUCAAAAUUUAGUAGCCAAUAGCUCAUGUUGCUGGUAUCAUCUAAAUAUAGUUUUAUGGGUGAAGGUAUCGCUGAUGAAGAGGCUAAGGCAUCCAAAUAUACUACUCUUUAUGGGUGCAGUUACUUCUCCUCAGAGACUAUGCAUUGUGACAGAGUUCCUUCCACGGUUUGUUCUUCACUUCACCUAUAAAUUUCAAAAAGAAAACAACCUGAACUCCAUCUUUGGGAUUGCUUGGUAUUUUUUUUUCCUGUUAGCUAUAUACUUGGGACUGUUUGAGAAGACACUUCAGCUUGUUUAUAAAUCAGAACUUAAAUUUAGUUGCAACAGAAGGUGUCAGGUCGUGUCUUUAUCUUAACAAAUGAAAUUUGUUAUUCCUUUUAGAAAAGGUUCCGAGUCUAGGUAAAUGGAUAACCCUUCAUCACAGCUCUGUUGUGAAGUAAAGCAGUUUGUCCUGGUUACCUAAAGUUUCUAAUUAGGGAUCUAUUUUGAUGAGUAUAAUUUGAACCAAUUUCUUUCCACUCUAAUAUUAUUAUGAAGUUGUCCUAAGAUCUAUUGUGUAAUGAGCAUGAAACCAGUAUAGGUAUUCUAAAUUGGUCAGUUCAAAAUAACUUUGAGCUCUUUUCAUAUAGCAAGGUCAUUAUGGUUUUAAUUUUUACCUUUAUCUCCUAGAGAUCAAUGUAGUGUAGCAUAAUUGUAUUAUAUUUCAUUUUGACAAGUUUUAAGAAGUAGCGAGUAUUUGAAUUGAAAACAGUGUAUGCACGAUUUAAAGCUGGGUACAGAGCCCAGACACCCACCCCUAUCCCUCUUAAACCAAAAUCUAGAAAAAAAAAAAAACCUGAAACAGAUCACUGUUGUCAUUUGUCCUUGACUCAUGGCCAAAUCUGGGGUCAGCUAUAGAGCAAAACUCUAAGUUAAGAAGGUUACAUGGAAGGGUGAGGCAGGUUUUAUAGUCGAUUGUAAGCUUGAUGCCAAUCGUUAGCAGCAGGAAACUUCAACUUGCAGUGGAUAACCUCCUUCCAAAUUUCUCCAGAAACUCAUCCUAUACUCAAUUCCUUUGUGUUCCUUAUUCAUUUCUCUUAAGAAACUCACUUCCCCAUACCAUCAUCCAAAUCUGCUUCUUCACCUGCUUCUGGUAACUAAGCGUUGACCCUCUACAACGGUGCUGAAUUCCUGGCUAAGGGAAAUAAGGCAAGAGGGGGGCCUUCCAUUAAACUUGUAUGGCUACUUGUUGAUAAGGAGGUUUACCUUGUUAGGUUCAGUUUAAGCUCAUGCAACCAUGAGCAAACCCUUUAAAAUUCCUUUAGACUUGCAAAGAGUCUAGAUGAAGGACAAGAUGAUAACUUCUGAUAGAGUGAAGGAGUUGUUCACCCUAAAUGAACAAAAGAACCAAAUAGUCAAAUGAAACACAAUGAUAUGACAUAGGCACAGACAAAUAUAUGUAAGAUAGGCCUGUCAAGGAAGUCUAUGGAGUUGCCUUAAUAUGAAAAGCAACUUCAUUGCUCAAGAGGUGCUCCAACCAUCUGAAUGUUUCUAACAUGAUAUCAGGCCAAGUUUUCAGGAUCAAGCUUAGUCUUCUUCAGCACUCUUGAAGUUCUUGUUUUGCAAGCCAUCCACAAUAGUGUUUGUGGAAUAAUAACUGAGCUCUUGCAAUGGAGGACAGUGUAGAUGGCAGGGGUCUAUAGGCCUAUAGGGUCUAGGGAAUAGGGUCAAGGGAAGCAAGGCAUAAAUCUAUAGGUUGCUGGAAAUUCCAGUUUGGCAGCAAGUUUAGAGUUUUAAAUGCAGCAAAGCAAUCAGCCAUGUUUUUGGAUGGAAAGAGGGGUCAGUUGGUGGCUUAUAAGGAUAUAUGGAGGAGAAAUAACAAAGAUGGUAACAGCAGAUUUGUUUUUGCAAUAAUACGGAUCUCAGAAGCAAGUGGUGUUAGGGGCUGCAGGUUAAGGUUUUUCAGGGAUUAACCAUGGGUUGUGAUGGAAGGCUGUUAGGCUCACCGCAAUACUAGAACAGGGUGUACUGUGAUGACAGUCCUGAUCUGACCUGAAAAUAGACCCUGAUAGGUAGCUGUUUGCCUUAACACAGAUGGCUAGCGGUGGCAAAAAGGCAAGGGAAUAGCUUUCUUUGUUAUUAGAUCUGCAAGCUAUGAUUGUCUAAGAUGGUUCUACUGCAGAUUUAGUUGACAGCAGUAACAACAGAGCAACCAGGCCACAGAAAAUAAUGAAUAGAAGCAAAACUGAAAGUAGCAGCAAGUAGUGAAAGGAUAGGAAAGAUGCUACCAGACUCCAAGAUGUAGGAACCAGAUUUAGGGUUUGAAGGUCUCACACCGUCGUUGCAGAAUCACACGACAAGAGGGAAAAAGCUGAUUAUGUCUAAGACCCAAACUUAAAAGAAAAGGAAACCCUAACAAUCUUUUGUAAUCCCAAAACUAUCCCCCAUAUGGCAUGGUUGCGGCUCACAGUUACUGUAGUGCAAACAGUGCCAUGAACUGUACUGAUACAGUAAUUUGGUUCAUACAGCUAUCAAAUAAAACCAGAGAUCAUUUGAUCUGAGCCCUUGAUUUCAAAUGACCCACUAAAGGCUAAAACUAACCAAAAAAUAGAAGAAAAUCUAAAACUUGACUACAGAAAUGACUACAACCAGAUCAAGUAAAUUCCUAAGAUUCAUAGCCCUCGGCACAUCAUGACAUGAUGUCCGAUCAUCAUCCAUGAAAAAUUAUUCUUCUCCUAAACUCUACAGAAACAAUAUCUUCACAAUUCUCAAGCAGUAUCACCCAGUUUCGGUCUUAUCAUUUUAGCUGCAAAGUGAUCAAAAGCAAUAUUCUUGUGCAUGCUAAUUGCAAAAAAAAAAAAAACUUUCACUUGCCGUGGGGACUGACCCUUGUAAGGAUAUUUGCAUUUACUUGUGUGGCUACUUAGAUGGCAUGUUCAUUGUAACUGCGUCAAACUGCAGCCCACGAGGUGAAAGUUAUUGAUUGAACAAAUAAGUAUUAACCAUUUAAAUAGUGAUUGGCAUAACAAAAGGUCAAUAAAUAUUCAUUGUUAACCCCACAUGUAUAAACCUUCAGAGUAGUUCAGAGUGUAGCUACAUCAGAUGAUAUGGUCUGGAAAUUCAGCAUUGAGAUGUACAUGGUAGAUUGGGUGAUUACAGUUAUAGACUUCAUUUUCAAGAAGACAGCUAUUAUCUGUAUCUAACUUAUGAUUGAAUAGAAAAGUUUCUACAUUAUUGCUCUUUGGUUGAUAUCUAUUCCAAAUGCAGUGGGAGUUUGUUUCGGUUGCUUCAAAGAAACAGCAAAAGAUUGGAUUGGAAACGACGCAUUCACAUGGCUUUAGAUAUUGUGAGUAUAUUUUUAUAUAUAGAUUAGAAAAGGAUUUACUGACAUUUAAUUCUAUUUAUAGAUCUGGUUUAAGAAUAUUGAUCAAGGAAUCAAACUGUUAAACUUCGAAAAGGGUAUUCUUAUCACUCCAAAAUUUUAUUUUCCUUUGGUCAUUUCCCAGACUACUGCAUGUGUUGAACUAGACAUUUAGAAGAUAGAUUUGUUAAGAGGAUGAAAAAGGUCUUUUUUUUGCAGCAAAGCCACCUUGGCAUUCGAAGUUUCAGUUUGAUUUUGCUUAUGUUGCAAUGAAUUAUGUAGCUUGAAAUUGCAAACCAUUAUUGAUUAUAAUAUGUUCUUUCUUAUCCUUCAACAGGCAAGGGGCAUGAAUUAUCUUCAUCAUUGCAACCCGCUUAUUAUUCAUCGUGAUUUGAAGUCAUCAAAUCUGUUAGUUGAUAAGAAUUGGACUGUGAAGGUGUGUUUUUACUUCUUAAAGAUAUAGGUGUACCACAUCGUAUGUAUAUUAUAUCCUCAUUUUGCUUUGUUUGUGGUGAACAGGUUGGGGAUUUUGGUCUUUCACGUCUGAAGCGUGAAACAUAUCUGACAACAAGAACCGGGAAAGGAACGGUAUUUGCACAAACAGCUCAUACUAGUUUCGUUAUUUCGAGUCUUCUUUGGUACCAAAUUAAUUAUCAGCCAAUGAUAACUUCUGGACAUCUAAUUAUUUAUCUUAAGCUAAAAACUGACCAUUUUCCUAUUUUCAGCCACAAUGGAUGGCUCCAGAAGUUCUACGAAAUGAGCCUUCAGAUGAAAAGUAGGUUGAGAUCUCAAUAUUAUCUUAGCAUGUCGUUGGUUCAAUGUUCCACUUGUUGCUUGAACGGGGUCUUUCUUUUCUCUUUUUUUUCUUUUUUCUGGAAAACAGGUCUGAUGUGUAUAGCUAUGGGGUAAUACUAUGGGAACUUGUCACCGAGAAGAUUCCUUGGGAAAAUCUCAAUUCAGUGCAGGUAAUUCCCUGCUGAAGUUCUGCCAUUUGUCCUAAUAUCAAGUAGCUUGCGUUUACUUUCAUCCAACUAACAAGAAAUUUUUACUUUUUUUUUUUUUGCUUUAACGGAUUAAUCAUACAAUGCAUGUACGAAUACACCCUAAAUUUUUACAUAUUUGACAUCAUAAUUUACUAUCAAUCAUGACUUGGUACAGUAUCUUUUUGUUUUUUUUCAUUGUUUGGGAGCUUAUUGAUAUCUUCAGAAUAAUUACAAAAAACAUAUUGCAUAUUUGCUGAUCUAAGAUGCCUCUUCUAUGCUAUUGGCUAGAUGCUUCCUUAUAUUCUGAUUACAUCUCUGGUUCACUUUGCAUUCAAUUCUUAUCUUUGACUGUUAUAAUAUUUAGACUAAAUCACAAAUCCAGGCUUUGUUCUUGUCCAUAUAUUGUUGAUUGAAAGAGCACUAUCUAAAAGAGGACAAAUCAAAAAUUUGUCGUAAUGUUGUAUUACAUAAUCUUCAUCUGAUUUCACCUAGAAUGGUAAGGCAACAUGCAGAAAUAUGCUGCAAUUUUGCUAACUUCGAUAUUAAACUGUUUUUCUUAUUCAUAACAUGCAAUUCUAGGGAAACAAAUUUGACCUGCAUAUAGUUUUGAAAUCAAUUGCUGCCGGAUAAAUUCAAUUAAGAAGUUAGGGUCCUAGACCUUGUUUAAAGGCUUGUACAUUGCAAUUCUGAUUCUUUUGCCUUUUGAAUAACUUCAUCAUCCAGGUCAUUGGAGCAGUAGGUUUUAUGAACCAAAGGUUGGAGCUCCCGAAGGACCUGGAUCCACAGUGGGUGUCAAUUAUUGAGAGUUGUUGGCAUAGGUUUGCUUUCCUUUUCUAUGAACAAAAUUUGCCCAGAUGCUCUCUCUCUCUCUCUCUCAAAAUUACCUGCUUUUUUGUACUUCUGCAAACAGUGAACCAAACUUGCGGCCAAGUUUCCAGGAGCUGCUAGAAAGAUUUAAAGAUUUGCAGAGGCAGUAUGCUGUCCAAUCUCAAGUGCAACGCUCUGUACCUAGCAACACUAACCAGGGUAAUGCAAGAGUGAGUGUUCAGGAAUGAGGUUAUCAAACUGAAAGAUUUAUCUGCCAGUCCGUGCAUCAGCCAUGGAUCUAAUGAGAAGCAUUGUUCAUUCCAUCAUCGCAUGCAACUACAGUGAGCUACAGAUCCUAUGAGUGCUGCAGGACUGUCUUCAUUAGUGAGCACAGCUCAGCUGUGUACAUUCUAAUCAAGCAGCAUGCAGCUAGCUCUGUGACUGCCGAAUUGCUGUGCUGACCUGUCACUUUUUGUGAAAAAUUAAUCAGCCAAUUGUAAAAUUGCCUUGGAUCAACCAUAACACGAGAUGAGGCUUUUUAAAAAAAAUUAUCUUCGCAUAAGUUACGCCUUAGGCUAGUGAGUUUUGGUGGUUGGGCUGCUUGUAAAGAAGAUCCAUCAGAGCCCUACGUAAAUAUUGUAUUAUAGCAUGGUACAAGCUUUACUGCAAUUUUUAAAUUUUCUUUUCUUUCCUCCAUGAAUUUGUCAUGAGGAAGAAUAGUAAUGUGUGCAUUGUUGGGGCUAUCUAGAAUAGGUUGAAUUGAUUGCAAGCAGCACUUUUAGGACUUGUUUGAUUCAUGGGAAGAAUUUUAUCUCGCCAGUGUAUUUUCUGAAAAAUUGACGUAUGAAUAUAUGAUACUUGAGAAAGUAAUUUUUAUAGAUUUGGUUGAUCAAAAAAAAAAAGACAUAGAAAACACUUUUUAGAGUGCAUAUUUGGUUGAGUAUUUGCUUUUCUAGAAAAAUUAUUUAAAAUAUUUGUCAUGCCUUUAAUAAAGUUGUGUAGAAUAUCUAUAAAACAUCAUAUGCAUAAAUUUAAUAGCUAUUUAAUUUUUUUUAAAAUAUGCAUUAAAAAUAUUUAUUGGGUUGAAUUUUUAGUAGUUAUACAACUUUUUUAUAUUGUGGUACUUUUUAAUAGUUAUUAAUAUAUUUUUAUAUGAAAAUUACCAUAAUUUUAUAUUUUACUAAUUUUUGAUAGUUUAAAAUUAAUUAUUAAAAAUAGAUAUUAAGGAAAUCAGGACAGCUUAAAGGUAUUUUCGGUAAAAAAAAUACCACAAUAUUCAGUUUGUGGGAAAAUGGUUUUUUCGUAUUUUACAUGGGUUUUUUUAAUAAAAUGUGGGAAAUUUUUUAUUUCCUACAUUUUUUAAUAAAAAAUGUAUAUUCUUUUUCCUUUCACAAAAAAAAGAUAUACUUUAUUUUUUUAUUUGAAUAUUUUCAAACCUCAUUAUUUAAAAUAACUUAAACUGAUAUGUUUUAGUUAUUUUAAAUAAAAUUAAUAUGUUUAGCAUUAAAAAUUUGAAGCUACCCAUAAGUAAAAUGAACUAUAUUUAGUUUUAUUUUUUUAUCAAUGAAAAAAUAUAUAUAGCUAUAAAUUUUAUUUUAAUUGUUAAUUUUAAAUUGCAUGGAUCUACAUUUUAAAUUAAUAUAUUUCAAAUAUUGUAAAUAGUAAAGCUUUGAAAAUAUUUAAAAGAAUAAAAUGAUGAAUAUGUUUUGUCAAAUUUUGUCAAAAAGGGAAAAUUUCAAAGUCAUAACCUAGUAAAAAUAAUUCAAAAAGUAACAUAAAUCAUUGUUUCUAUUUAUCACUAAAUAUUUUAAUUUUUUAGUGCUAGUUCCAUGAAGGGUAAAAAUACCAUUUUAUAAAUUUAAUAACACUUUAAUGAUGCUUUCUAAUAGAGAGUGAUAACAGGGACAAAUGAUGCCUGUAAACCAUUUUGUCAAAAAGAACUUGAUCUAGGAAUAAAUGUAUAAAUUGCAAUUUUGCAGAGAUAAAUACAUAAUUAGGCAUGUUAUAAGGUUGUACAAGCAGAAAUCUGAAAAAAAAAAAGUCUCAUGGAGCAUACAGGCAUAUUUUCUGAAAUUAAUUUCUUUGGUGGCACCUGUUUACCAACUUGCGAGCUACUCGAAUAGGCAUAUCAGAGAUAAAUGACAAGAAUUGAGACAUCCAGUCAGAGGUCCAAGAAUAUCAGGAGAAUAGGCUUAAGCCCCAAUACAUGGAAUCUAGACUGAGCUUCAAGUAAAACAGAUUCAGCUAUAGAAACUAACAAACCCCAAAAUUUGAAGUUUGACAGAAAUCAACAAGUACAGAGAAACUAAACAAAAUAUAUAGUCACUUCAUAUUUCCCGGUACAAGAGAUUGAUGUUUCGUGCAAAAAAAAUGGAGUAAAUACUGGAGCAAGAAACUAGUUCUUUUCCCAUAUAAAUUUAAAAUAUCAGGAUUUAUAGCCGAUUGCCUGACCAUAUUGCGUGAUUACAAAAAUGGAACCAAAGGAAUGUGUCACGCAAACUUCUAGUGCAGUAAAGAGCGAAUGGCAGCAACAGCAUCGCCUUUGUGCUCCCUCAGUGUUCUCUCUGCCACUUUCUUGUCCAACUGCAUAGAAUGGUGGGGUAUUACUGGCAAGGUCAUCAUCAGCUAAGAAGUGAGAAUGAGAAAGGAAAGGUUUUCACCUCAAGCUCAUUGGCGAUGAUGUCUACAUCGGUCAGAUUGAUCUUGACAGCAGCCAGUUCCUUCUCCCUGAAAGCAAGUUACAUCAGUUUAGACUGAAUUCAUGGUAUAUUAUGAAGAAUUACCCAGUGCACCGUGAAUAAGACUGGCCAUACAGGCACAUUUUGCAAAUCUGGUAGGACAGUAUAAAUUGAAUGAUCUGUACCUUCAAUUGUUCAGGUAUCUCAAAUUUAUCUGGCGAGGAGAUUCUUCCAGUUUAAAUAGCAGUAGGCUGGGAACGAACAGAAGUCUGGGCCUAAAUUAAUUGUUUUCAAUUUAUCUCGCCUACACUUGCUCCUAAAUCAAAGAAUUGAAAUUCUAUUAUUCUAGUAACAUUUCAGUCAAACACUGAGGCCAGCAUACCCAAUGUCAGUAUGCUUCCUAGUAAAAGUAAGGUUAUUUAGAGGGGAAAUGCUAUAUUAAAAAUCUGCAAAACAAGGAGCUUAGCUCAAUAUUGGAAGACCAGGUUGCCGGCAAUCUAAAGGGCAUCUUAAUUGUCAUUAUUGGAAGUAGCGAAGAAUAAAUCCAUAACCAACAAGCAGUCAUCAGAACCAAGCAACCAUGGGACCAGUACCAUAUCAUAGUUACCAUGUUUCAGCACUCAAUUGGGAGGCAUGUUGUUAGCCUGUUUACUGGUCUUCCUUCUUGUUAGUUAAUAAGGGAAGAUCAAGGAAAAUGAAGUAAUGGUGACAUCACUAGCCAGAUUCACAUCAUAGAAGGCAAAGACUAAAGGUAGAGAAUUUUUUGCACGUUGCAGUCAUUGAAAGCAAAGGCCUGAGGUAGAGUUUUUUUUUUUUUCAUAUUGCAGCCAUUGGCUGCAUCAACUCCAUCAAGACUCGUGUUGGAUGUUGGACAGAGUUUGACUUAUUAGAAGGUGAAGAGCUAGAGAUUCUGGGGCUUCAUGAAAUAGUUUGAAAGCUAAGGAUUUGGAGAAUAAUAAAAGCAAGAUGCCAGGCAACGAUGGUACCAAUAAUAUUAAUCUCAAAAUGCUUGGUUCACUCACAGAAGAGAAACACCCAUAUCAACAAGAAGUCACCAAAACCUUGGUCCAAUAUUACGAUUAAUCCACUCUUGAAAGACAAGGUUGCCAACAAUCUAACUGACACUUCAAUAAUCAUAUUAUAUAUUACCCAAAGAAAUAAAAUUAGUAAUAUUUGUUGAACAUAGUGAGUACGAGAAGUCAGACAUUUGUUUUUUUGCUACAACAAAUGACAUAUUGUUUCUUGGUUUUUCUAGUCUUCUAAAAGACUAACAAAUAAAGAUGGACAUGUCGGUGAGAUCACUAGCCUAUUUAGCAUCAUAGUAGGAGAGAUGACCAGAAGAGAAGACAAGCAACAUUUAGAAAAAACAUACAAUGAUAUCAUUAAUAAACUAGUGAAUUAGUUCCAAUGUGGAGAUAAUGAAUGAAAAACAUGCAACAACAAAAAAUCCAGCAAGGACUAAAGUUCCCAUCCGUACCAUAUAGAUCUAAAACAUGAAUCAUGCUUGCAGGUUUUCAGCAUGGUACAAGGGUGCAUAACUUUGUAGCAUCUGUGCCAGUUAGUAUCAAUGUACAUCAACUUGUACUCAUAUAUUUGAAGUGAUAAGCAUCAAUAUGUACCAAAGAUUAUAACAUUAGGCAUACCGGCUGUGAGGACUUGUGUAAGCAUAUGUUUAGUCUCAUAUUGUUGUGCACUAGAGAGAUCUUGGACUCUUAUAUACGGCCAAGAAACCCGAAUAAUAACUUCUGACUAAGCUUUACGGGUGAGCUUAUGGAUCGUUAUAAAUGCUAAACAGAGCAAAGCCAACCCAUGGCCCAUGUUGAUAGGUCCCAAUCAGAGUUAGGAAAUGACAAAUAGAUAAUUGGAUAAAGCUCUCUUCGGGUGAGAGACAGAUAAAGCUCUCUUCGGGUGAGAGACAAACCUCAAGUACUUUGAUUAAAAAUUGCCUGCCUCUACAUUCCUACAUAGGAAAUAUAAAUAAGAAAAAAUAUAACAACCUUGCCUACAAACUCGAUAUCAUACUUCGAAAUUAAAGGACCCUACUAACAGUAACAAUUAGAACCGAAACACUCUCUAACAGCUAGUAAGACUUAUUCUUCACUGCACGUAUCCGUUAGCUUCAUGAAGGUCUCGGCACUUGACCAGGCCAGCUCCCAACAGCUCAACAGCCAGCCCACGUUUUCCAUGCAAAGCUCUCCCCUCGCCACGUCAUGCAUGCAGCUCCUUUCCCAUGCUUCUACUCACCCCACGUACUUAGGAUUCUUGUUAGGCACCCUUAUGGAGCGACGUAGCUUAUCAUUACCCCCUUCUUCGGGUGGAACCUUGUCCCCAAGGUCCACACCAGGAAAUUGAUUCACCAAUUCCACAACAUCUUCCCACGUAGCAUCUUCAGUUGGCAGCCACUUCCUUUUGACCAAACUCUCCUCGAUGAACUUAGGCCCCCGUUUAACCCAAUGUGUGUCGAGAAUAAACUCCAAGACAACCGCUCCAUCAUCAGUGAUAGGUGGCAAUUCAGUGCUUGCCGUCGAUCCUUCGCCAAUCAUUUUUUUUAAGCAAUGACACAUGGAAGACUGGAUGCACCCGUGUGCCUUCAGGAAGCUUUAACUUAUAGGCAACAUUCCCCACUCGUUUCUCAACCUGAUAAGGCCCAUAGAAUCGGCUUGCCUGGUGAGCACGUUUGUAGGCUGAGUGUUGAUGAUAAGGUUGAAGUUUAAGGAAGACUAAAUCUCCUCCUUCGAAUGACACAUCCCUUCUUUUUCGGUCUGCCACCUGCUUCAUUCGAUUUGUAGCCACACUCAAAUUCUGUUUUAGUUGCCGCAGCAACUCAUCUCGUGCCACAAGCUUCUGGUCGAGUUCAUCAACUGGGGAGGAGCCACUCUGGGUACCAUGGAAUUGUUGGAGGUAACCUGCCGUAGAGAGCUUGAAAAGGAGUCAUCCCCGUUGACGCAUGAUAAGCGGUGUUAAACCAAAAUUCUGCCCAUGGUAAAAAGGUGCUUUUGCGUGGUUGCUGGUGGACGAAGCAGCGCAUAUAUUGCUCGACACAUCGGUUUACUACCUCAGUCUGCCCAUCCGUUUGUGGGGGGUAAGCCGAACUCAUCUUCAAUUGUGUUCCUGACAGCUUAAAGAACUCAUGCCAGAAUUUGCUGAUGAAGAUGGGGUCACGGUCGCUGUUAAUGGUUUUUGGCAUUCCGUGGAGCUUGACUAUGCCGUCAACAAAUUUCUCAACCACCAUCUUCGCUGUAAAUGGAUGAGCUAGUGCCAAAAAAUGAACAUACUUACUGAGUCGAUCCACUAACACUAGAAUGGUGUCCUUGCCGUGGGAUGAAGGGAGUCCCUCAAUAAAAUCCAAUGAAAUGUCAUCCCAAACUUAGCACGAAAUGGGUAACGGUUGGAGGAGUCCUGCUGGAGACAGAGUUUUUGUCUUGGUUCGCUGGCAAAUUUCGCAAGUCGCCACAUAGUCUCGAACGGUCUUUAUGCAUGGAAGGCUAAUAGAACUGUUGAGAUAGGCGCUUGAAAGUUCUUAGUCCACCCGAAUGGCCUCCAAUCUUGGUGUCAUGGAACUCCUGCAACAACUGGUUGAUGAGAGAAGUGUUGGGGGGGUACCACCACUCUGUUUUUGCAAAAUACCAGUCCAUCCCUCCAUGUAUAGGGAGUUCUUGGUUGUGUCUGCGCUAGGAGAGUCACAUGGGCCAUGUAUGGGUGGUCUUUGGCGGCCUCUUUAAUAUCCUCCCAUAAAAUAACCUGCGGCACAAACAAUUGGUUAAGGAUUGGACUGCCAGGUACUCUAGACAGUGCAUCAACAGCAAAAUUUUCGCGUCCCCGGCGGUACACAAUCUCAUAGUCAUAACCGAGCAAUUUGGCCACCCACUUUUGUUGUUCAGGUGUGACAAUGCAUUGCUCCAAGAGAUACUUAAGGCUGCGUUAAUCCGUCUGAAUGAAAAACUUCUUCCCAAGCAAAUAUGGCCGCCAAGUGCGAAUUGCUUCAAUAUGGCCAGCAUCUCCUUUGCGUACGUAGACCACGAUUUUUUUAAGACUCCCAAAGCCUUACUCAUGAACGCAAUCGGUUUGCCUUGUUGGGUAAGGAUAGCGCCUAUUCCUUCACCUGAGGCAUCCGUUUCUAUAGUGAAAGAAUCAUUGAAAUUGGGCAUGGCUGGAGUAGGCGUGGUGGUCAUGGCCUGUUUGAGCUUAAGAAAGGCAGCUUCGGCUUCCUCACUCCAUUUGAACUAGCUUUUCUUUAAGAGAUUGGUGAGUGGACGAGCUAUCACUCCAUAAUGCUGCACAAUUUUUCUAUAAUAUCCUGUAAGUCCCAAAAACCCACGCAAUUCGAAAAUGUUAGUAGGGCAGGGCCAUUUGAUCAUAGCCUCAAUUUUGCCUUGAUCCACCUUUACUCCUUGAUGUGUCACGAUAUGCCCAAGAUAAACCAAUUCGUGUUGCCCAAAAGCACACUUGCUGGCCUUAAUAAAAAAUUGGUGCUGCCUAAGAAUUUCAAAAGCCUGCUUCACAUGUUCAAGAUGCAUGUCCCAAUUGGGGCUAUAAACUAGAAUAUCAUCAAAGAAAACUAAUAUGAAUUUUCGGAGAUAAGGGCAAAAAAUUGAAUUAAUAAUAGCUUGGAAAGUAGAUGGGGCAUUGCACAAGCCAAAGGGCAUGACUAAAUAUUCAUAGUGACCAUUGUAGGUACAAAAGGCUGUUUUUGAAAUGCCAGGGGAUGUACCCGAACCUGGUGGUAACCAACCCUCAAGUCUAGUUUGGUAAAAUAUGAGGCACCAUGGAGUUCAUCUAGCAUGUCAUCAAUUGUUGGGAUGGAAAAGCGAUCUUUAAUAGUGACCGAGUUAAGGGCCCUAUAGUCAGUACAGAACCGCCAAGUUCUAUCCUUUUCCUUAACUAAAAACACAAGAAAAGAAAAAAGACUGGUACUAGAUUUUAUAAGCCCCAAUUUAAGCAUGUCUUGAACUUGUUUUUCAAUUUCAGCUCUUUGAAAAUAGGCAUACUUGUAGGGCCUAACAUUGAUAGGCUCGGUACCUUCCUUGAGAGGUAUGUGAUGGUCAACUUCGCGGACUGGAGGUAACUUGGUUGGCUCACUGAAAAUAUCUGCGUAGGCUUCAAAGACUUGGAGCAUAUCUAGGUGCAUAUUGGAUGAAGGUACCUCUUCUACCGCUUGUAAGCAGACAGCAAACAUCGAACUCCCUUGUUUGCAUUCUUUUGUAAUUACCUUCAGUGAUGCUGCUUGAACAGGUUGUCCAUUUGUACCUUGUAACUUCCUUGCUUGAUUUUCCCACUGGAACUCCAUGGUCAUUUGCUUCCAAUUACAAACUAUUGACCCCAGCAUUACCAACCAUUGUACACCCAGAGAUCUAGCCCGCUAAGGGGCAGGGAAUAGAGCGUGAGUGUAAACGGUAUACCUUGGAGGUUGAUUCGUACUCUCUCAAAUCUUCCUCGGCACUUCAGUCGGUUCCCAUUUGCUACCCGCACAGUGAAUGGUUCUGUUGGAACAACGUGUAAGCGGAGCAAAUUGGCAACCCUUUCGCUGAUGAAAUUAUGUGUUGAUCCACUGUCAAUCAACACAAUAAAUUCAUGGGGACCGACUCUAGCCUUGACUCGCAUGGUGCGUGAGGUAGACCAUCCGGUUAGUGCAUGCAGCGAAAUCUCAGGCUCGGGUUGUGCUUCGGUUUCAGCCUCUCCUUGUAGCUCCUCCAUGAUGUCUUCACAAAUGAUCUCGCCUGUGCUGCUGCUGGCUUCUAACAGCAACAGUUGUGGCCCUUGACAUUUGUGUCCCACCAUAAACUUCUCGUUACAAUUAAAAUAGAGCCCUUGAGCUCUCCUCUUCUGCAUCUCCUCCCAAGUCAGCUCUCCUCUUCUGCAUCUCCUCCCAAGUCAGCCUCUUCACUGGGUAAGCUGGGUUUGUCUGAGUCGCAGAAGGAGGGGCCAGCUGCGCAUCCUUGGAGCUGGUAGCGGUCGCGUGAAUCGUCGUUGACGUGCGAGUUGCUCAUCCUUCAUCCUCGCCAAACUAAUGGCCUCCUUCAGAGUCUUGGGCUUGAACAUGCGAAUGCCCUCAGAUAUCUCAGGCUUCAGACCUCCCAUGAACGUUCCCACGAGAGCUUUUUGGGUCCAACCUUGCACACGGUUACCCAGUCUCUCAAACUCCUUCUGGUAGACGCGCAAAGUCCCGCUUUGUUUAACUCUCGAUAAAGCCUCGUCAAAUUUCUCGCAGUUUGUGGGUCCAAAACGAGCCCAUAGCUCCUCGGUGAACACCUCCCAAGUCAUUGCUUGGGCCUCCUCUCUGUACGCCCUGCUCAACCACUGCCACCAUUGGUUGGCUUCUCCUUCGAAGUGAAAUGAAGCAAGUGAGACCUUCAAGUCAUUGGCAGUUCUUUGAAACUCAAUGAAUUGUGCCGCUCGAUUGAACCACUCCGUGGGGUCAUCUCCAGCAUAGCGUGGGAACUUUAUCUUGGUUGCUCGAGGAGUGAAGCUUGGCCGACCACAUCCUGGCUCCUCAUAAUGCGUACGAGAAUAGUUUCCCCGUUCAGGAGCAUGAGAAGAUGAGGACCCUUUGGUUGAGAGGACUGCAUCAGAUAGCGCCUCAAGAGAGUCCUCCAGGCGUUGCAGCCGAUCUCCUACUCCGACCUCCAUGCGUUGCAUAUCAUCUUGCAUUCCACCCAACCCUUGCUCUAACAUCUCGAUUCUUUCUUUGUUGGUUGUCAUUGGAAACCUGGCUCUGAUACCAUUGAUAGGUCCCAAUCAGAGUUAGGAAAUGACAAAUGGAUAAUUGGAUAAUGCUUUCUUCGGGUGAGAGACAAACCUCAAGUACUUUGAUAAAAAAUUGCCUGCCUCUACAUUCCUACGUAGGAAAUAUACAUAAGAAAAAAUAUAACAACCUUGCCUACAAACUCGAUAUCAUACUUAGAAAAUAAAGGACCCUACUAACAAUAACAACUAGAACCAAAACACUCUCUAACAGCUAGUAAGACUUAUUCUUCACUGCACGUAUUCGUUAGCUUUGUGAAGGUCUCGGCACUUGACCAGGCCAGCUCCCAACAGCUCAACAGCCAGCCCACGUUUUCCAUGCAAAGCUCUCCCCUCGCCACGUCAUGCAUGCAGCUCCUUUCCCAUGCUUCUACUCACCCCACGUACUUAGGAUUCUUCUUAGGCACCCUUAUGGAGCGACGUAGCUUAUCACAUGUCGAUUAGGAGAUAUGGCAACACAGACCAAUUUGGGGCUGACAAUGGACCAAUUGUGGUAUAUUUGUGACUCGAUCUAAUUGGAUUUAUUGCUCUUCUAACUUGUAGAUUUAAACAAUGAGAAACAAUGUAUGAAUAUACAUAAAACUGGCACAAACAUCAACAUCUAUCAUAGUAAUAUGUUUCUCUUGGCAAUAUCAUUUAUGCUAUGUAUGGGUAGAGUUGCUGAUUUUCCAAAUAUAUAUAUGACAGAAGUUAGAGAGAUACUCAUUGAUACCAUUGACCCAAAACUUUUUAUUUUUGGCUUCUUGGAAGAUGUACAAACUAAAAUGAUAAAGUUAUUGCAGCCAUCACAACUAAAGCAUGGGGC
rnacentral:lncRNA from 1 species